UUUUUUUUGACAGGUAAAGUAAAAGAUCUAUUAAAAAAGAGACAUUAAAAGAGUGACUCAAGGUAUACAAUACCUAUACGCCCACCGCCAAACUUGUCAAAAAAGGAAAAGGAAACAAUCACCCAAACAGGUUUAAAACAACCUUAACUAGAGUCCAACCAAUCAACAAAACUAACUAAAGUUAGAGGGUGAUCAACUAUAAACAACUUUGCCUUUGACUAAAGGGAAAAAACAAAAAAAUAUUUUAGUUUUUGGAUCGAAAGCACGUCAUCAUCGAAAGCCAUUUGAUUUCUCACCUUCCAAACCGUCCAAAAGAUGUGUAGAAGAGCUACUCUCCAAACCUUCUUACGCUUUCUGCCUACAAACAAUCCAUGACAACUGAGAAGAGUCUCUCUAACUAAAGAAGGAAACACCCAUGAUACCCCCACUAAAGAAAAUACCAACUCCCACAAGACCCUUGUUUUAGUACAAUGAAGAAGAAGGUAGUCUAUAGUCUCUUCCUUCUCAUGGCCAAAAAAACAUCUAUUUGCCAAGGCCUGCCCUCUUUUUUUAAUUAAAUCCAAUGUUAAAGCUUUACCCCAUGUAGCCUCCCAAGCAAAGAAGUUAAUCUUGGGCUGCACCCACAUGUUCCAAAUGCAACUUGAGGGGAACGAAGAAGAGUUGCCCUACUCUAAAACAUUGUAGAGAGAUUUGACCAAGAAUUUCCCACUCUUUAUUUCAGUCCAAAGCACCGUGUCUUCCAUGUUACGAGACACUCUCUUCCCAUGCAACCGCACGAAAAAGCUUUCCACCUCUUUAGCUGAGGAGUCCCAAAAAUCCACCAACCACACCUCCUUAUCAACAACUAAAGCAAACAAGGACGGAGGACACGCACAAAGGAGAAUCCCCACACCACUCAUCCCUCCAAAAUCUCACCCUUUGCUCAUUAUCCACUACGAAGGAAAUCCUAGUUCUUACAAGAUGCUAGUCCAUCCUUAUCCCUUUCCACAACCCAACACCAUACACCUCUUUCAUCUCUCGAAAGCACUAUCCUCCACUUUCUUCCUCAUACUUCCCUCAAAUCACUUGAUUCCACAAAGCACCUCUCUUAUUUGCGAACCGCCAAUUCCAUUUGCCAAGAAGAGCAUUAUUUAGGGUGGAAAGGCACUUGACCUCUAAACCCCCUUUCUUCUUACUUAGGCACACCAACUCCCAUCUUACUAAAUGUGGUUUCCACUCCAAAUUCCCACCUCCCCAAAGGAAGUUCAUCUGAAUAUGCUCUAGCCUUUGUCUAACUGAGCUGAGCAUGGACAACAAAGACAUAAACUUAUCAAAAAAAUAAAAAAAAGACAUAAAAUAAAUGGGCAAAUUUGACAAUGUGCUUCAAAUUAGGGUCGUUCUCCCUCCUUUGGAUAUGUAUUGUCUCUUCCACUUAACCAACCUUCUAUGGAACCGCUUUUUGUUACCAUAAAAUCACAAUGGCCAUUACAAUCAGUAAAUCUAUUUGAGGAUGCUGCCAUCCGAAGGAAGAAUAAAAUGGUUUUUCAACCUCAUUUUCUUCUUUCUAUUUUGAUGUCAAAUUUUUAUGCUCCAAAACCUCUCAACCCUUUUUUUAUUAGCGUGCAUUAAAUUAAGGACAAAAUAAGCAAAGCCUUCAGUUUUAAUCAAGUAUCUAACCCUUCAAAGGUCAAAAUAUUUGAGGUAAGAAACCUAAGUGUUGUAUAAUCUUUGUUGUCUUUGCUUGAUUAGGAGUAAUAUUUCAUGUAUAAUGUUAGGGCUAGAGCCCAAAUUGCUCAAUGGUUGUUAUUUGGCCCCUGCCACCUCACAGCUUAAACUUAUAGAUUAUUUGGUAGCUUAAUAUGGUAUCGGAACCUUGGUUUACAUGAAGUCAUGAGUUUGAACCUCACCAUUGAUGUUUAUUUCCCUCAUUUAUUAAGCCCACAUACAAAUCUAAAGACAACUGCCAUGAGGUAAGGUGUUAAAGCCAUAGCCAAAAUUAGUUUGAUAUGCAUAGCUGGCCCCUGUUACCUAAUAAUUUAUGUUUUUGGGUUAAUUGAUAACUUGUAACCAAAUUCUAGCUUCCUAGAAGUUUGAAAAAUAAGAUUUCCAAGGAAAAGCAAAGCUUGUGUCUCUUGGCAUUUGGCAAAUCAACCUACCAAUGCUUCACCUACAGAAAAAUACCCAAUUAGAUUCAUGUUUCUUUAAGGAUUUUUCUUGUUUUGAGUUUUAUAAUACUAAGAUCAAUGAUUUGAAUGCCUAUCAAGAAAUAUUAAGUUAUUAGAACAAAAUCUAAGUUUGAUUCUUGUACUAUGGGAUAUUAUAACAUUAUUGGUUGACAUUAUAAUAGUCUUGACUAAAUUUAAUGUUUUUUUGUUGCUUAAAUUUUGCAAUUUUUUAUUUGAUGGGUUGUGAAUGUUAAUGCAAACCCGGUUUGAUGAUUAGAAAAAAGCUUCAGUCAAAUUGAUUGCUGUUAAUACUUUUCUACGAUUUUGGACAGUCAUUACCAAACGAAGGAUGAAGAAAGGGAAAAAAGAGAACAUAUCUUUCGGUUAGAAAAAAGUUAAGAGAAAAAACUAAUUCAUCCAGGAAAACCUCUAACCCACAGAGAUGAUGGGUAUCAUUGCAUAUCAGUUUAUCUGCUGAAAAAUGUUAUGCCCAUGUUUUCAGAUAUAAAAAGAUAAAAGUAAAAAGUUCUUUUGGGACAGUUUCUGGGGAAAUUUUCCUAAAUAAAAGUUGUAUUUAAAUGUAUGUUUGACAUAAAGAAUGAUUCAGCUGUUUGAAUAACUUCAUAAGUAAUGCAAUUUAGGGAAUACAUAUCCAGGAUUCAAAAUUGUAGACAUAAGAGUCCAUGCACAUGCAAAGAGUAAAAUCUUGUACUCCACUGUAAUUAAUGCCCGCAUAGAAACAUAACUAAAGAAAACAAAGACAGCCUUCUUCUGUAGAAAAGAGUGAGUUACAUUACCCCAAGGCCCAAAAGCUCACGUGUUUCAACCCCAAGAGCACCUGGCCUUAAACCAUCAUACCUUCCACCAGGGGAAUUUUGAUAAUAUCGAGUUGGGUUACGAGAUCCAGGAUUCUGAUUACGUCUGGACUUAUGUUGUUUGCGAGCAUUAUUAACAGCAACAUUGUCACGGGGCUUUGGGCAUUCCUUCAUAGAAUGAUUGUAGGAACCACAAUUGAAACAACGGGAAGCAUCUAUUAUUUCCAAGGCUCUACAAAUAAGCAAAAUAUAAAUGUAAGGAAACAUAUCAUAUGUAUGAGACUUCAGCAAGACUAGUAUAUCAUACAUACAGAGGAGAUUCUCCAGAACAAACAUGAAACUGCAUGCUCGAUAAGAUAAAUAUCCAAUCAAUGGAAUGAAGUACUCCAGUCUGCAAAAUAGAGCUUCACAGGUCUGGAAUGUGUCUCACUAUGAUAAGGAUCCAAACCAUGUUCUGGGAGGUUGGAUCAAGGAUUUCAAUGCAGAAUAGGCCCUUGUCUAUCAAACAGUAAAUUUCCAAAACACUUUUGCCCUCUAUUAACCGAAAAAUUAGACAAUACCUGAGCUCAGUCUUUGUACAUUGCAUUUCUCCUAAAGCACUUGACAAUGUUAUCAAUCAUAUUUAUGGCAUCAUUAUCACAGACAAGUUUGUCAUGCCCCCUAAAGGGUUAAAAGGGCUAUGUAGUUUCUGUUUACUAAGCAAACCUGUGGACAAAGUUUUUGAGAUAGAUGAAGUUCCCAGAAUCCUAUUUUUUGUUACUUUAUCUUCUGGCAAAGUUUAGUUUAUUUAUUACUUUUUUAUUGACUCUAUUGAUGGUCUGUGGGAGGCUUAAAGCCCAUUGCUCCGACUGUUGUUGCUUGGAGAUUGCUUGUAUAACUCCCAUGCAAUGUGGGGGUAAUGCCUCUUAUUGAUGUUAUCUUACAAGGUAUUACUUUAUUUAAAAAAAGAAAAAUACUUUUCCUUUUGUACUUACAUCCACAAAAAGAUAAUGUGCUGAACAUGAUGACAGAUAUCAACAAAGGCAGUAAAAUUAUCAAACAACAGAGAUCAUCUCUUAGCACCACACAUAAGUGACCAAAGUGUUCAACAGUAUCAAUGUGCUCCAAAACCAAUACCAAAAGACCUAACUGAUAAUAUAUAUAUAUACACAUACAAAUAACAGAGAUGGAAAUGCAUUAUAUCUAGAGUAAAUCACAAGAAAACCUGCAGUUGUGGAAUGCAAGAUCUGGUCAAAACAAUAAAAAUUUGAAAAUUUGUGAAUAAGUCAACAAAAGCGGGUGAAUAUUUGCACUCAUUGCAUUAAUGAACACAAGAAUAACAGCCAGAACAGAAGAAAAUCAUUAAUGUUGUGCUUUUUUAUGAGUUUUAUCUGCUCAUAAAAACAAGGAAGCUGACAAUCAACAAACAAAAUUUGUUGUAAGCCACAUUAUGGAACUCCAGGGAUGACGAUAUAACACCAACUUUGAUCUCAAUCAUCACUGAGAUGUUUUAUCGAUUUAACAAAUUUAUAUGUUCUGAAUAGAAUUUACAGUUUACCCAAAAAAAGUACAUAAUACAUGUUUUGAGGGAAAAAAAAAAGGUAAAUAGAUCUAGCUCAGAAAGCCAUAGGAUGAUCUCAUUUAUUUUCCAAAUCAAUCAAUGACUAAGUAUGCAUAUUAAUAAACAAAACAAAUAGCAUUUACCCCUCUGGUUUACUCUGACCAUCCUCUGAAACCAAACCCAAUGCAAAUCCACGAUCAUAAAGGGGAACCGAAUCACCAUCCAAUGAAAUAAACUCCUUGUCUUGUUGUUUCCUUGUUUGGUUGUCUACCCAAAAAGACUGCAGGUCAAAGAGUACUAAAGGAUAAAAAAAAUCUAAAACCAUAAAAGAACAACAAAUUGUGAAGAAAGACAAAACAAAGUUCCUGCAUUCGGAUAUCAUCAAAUUCCUAACAAAUGAGAAAGUACAAACUGAUAAAACAUAUCAGUUUUUAUAUGGGAUUCAUAACACCUGGGAAGUUUUGUUCCAGGAACUGGUUCUCCUGGAUUGAUGUAGCAUUUUAUUUUUACUUUGCGUACAUAUGUAACAAGAACAUGUUUUCACCAUGAGAUGCCCUCAAAAAGAAAUGAAAGCUUUCCAGAACAGGAGGUUUUCCAGAGAAGAAAGGUAGGAGAGCUUAGCAGCAGGUUCCAUGAUUCUAUAACUAGAAAGCAUGAAACAAAGAUUUAAUGUGUCUGACACCCUUAAAUUGUGUCUGAUAUAAAAUGUUGCAAUCAAACCCUGGUUAGCAUUUGUAAUUUCAAUAUAAUUACAAUUUACAAGAGUGUUUUACUCCUCUUAUACAUGUACAAAAUAAGAUACUUCUUUUAAUCAAGUAAAAUUGUAAUUUUGUGUUUAGAAUAAAUGCCAACAACCUUAAACAUAAACCUAGUACUUAUGCAUUGAAAAAUCAGUUCCAAAAACUGUGGUAUGUGUUCAUGCAUGUGUAAUCAUUUCUCUAACGUUCAUCAUAACAUGCAUGCAUUUCAUUUUCUAUUUAAGGUUUGAAUUUUGGAUACAAACACCGGUAUCAACUCCUUAUCACAUAUUAAAAAAAAAUUAAUCCAUUCCUCAUACAUUGGCACAUUUUGCUUGAUAAUUCAAUAGCUUCUUUCCAAACUAUUUUCCUGGUGGAUUUUUUGUCCACUCAUAUAACUAAAAUUAGUUGGAGAAAACUUUAAGCACACAUAAAAUGCGGCUAGCAACACUAAAUCUCAAGAAUUUAUAACCUCUAAGAAAUCCACUUCACCAGACACAACAAUAUGCGUUUUAACCCAAUAACUAUGUCUCUUCAGAACAAUACUUCAAAGAAGCUGAUAAAUGAUUCACAGAAUUUCAUUUAUGUCAAGUCAUGCUUUAUGAAGUUCUUACUCAGAAAUACACAAAUAAAAGGGAAAUUAACAUUAAAGAAUAAAGCACAAAAACAUUUAAAACUAACACAAAUAAAAUGAUUCCUUAGAUGAAACAUACAAAGAACGCCCAUAGUGACCAUAUGUGCAGGAGCAGAAAUACAUGAAAAGGAAACAUACCACUGCAGAAGAUUUAUUCAGACCAACAUGUAGCGCGGGAAAGUAUGUCUUUUCACCAGAAUCUAACUGUCCUUUAGGAUCCUGAGAAAGUAUAUCAGAUGGUUCCUUGAACAACUUGUAGGAAAAAUGCGAUCAACAAAAGAAAAAAAUAUAUUGAUUGCAUAAUAUACUUAAUAUCCACAUAAGAAUUUCCAAAAAUUAAACAGCAAAGGGUUCAGAACACACCAAAUUACUUCCAUAAAUACAAAGAUAGCAGAAGGCUGAUCAUAGAUAAAACAACAAUCUUGUUAAGGAGUAUCUACUGGCCACAAGGCUUGAUUUUGGGACGAGGUGCUGUAACCUAGCUUGUUGGACAGGGCACAGUAGAUACCAUUGGUUUUAUGAAACUGAUAUACUGAAUUUGUUAUUUUUCCCCAUCACUGAUGUCAAGAAAUUUGUUAGGCUGUUAAAAUGGAAGCCAAUUUUAUGUUUUCAUUAUUGUAAUUGUUUAUGGCACUAUUGAGGAUGAGAGCAUAAAAAACAUAUCAAUGUGAGGUUACUACUGAUCUAGGCCCACACCCACCAACUCUACCAUUGACUAAAAAUCAAUUUUCAUUGCUUAGGAGAAAAAAAAAAAAAAAAAGGAAGAUUUAUGCCUCAAACCUACAGGUUGGAGACCAAUGGCCGAACUCUCUAAAUUGAUCAACCAAAUUGGCUAAAAAGACUAUGCAACUGCAGGUCUACACCAUAAACCUCAGUUACAUUAGAUAUUCUUUCUCAAAGGGUUUAGAGAUAUAAAGUUAUUAAUCAAUAAAAAUUCUUCAUGAAAAGAUUCUGGUGGAGGAAAAAAAAAAUUCAUUAUUAACUUGCAGCAGUCACACUAAUUCAGUCUGAGCAUAUAAACACAUUCAUAUUCUAACAGCUUUGUUCUAAUUAAAACAGACAAAAAGUAUUUCUAAUUAACAAUAAGUGGAACAUUAUUCAGAUACUAAACAAAACCAAUUAAAAGCCACAGUUUUCACCUGUCAAGAGAAAUGAGCCUUACAUGGGAUGAAGAAACAUAUUUAGCAUGCCACUCUGACCACUGUUGUAAUAGUUCCUCAAGCUUCCGUUUACUAUCUCUGGAAAGAAAGUUGAUUCAAUUACACGUCAGCCAUGAGACUAAUUUCUUUAGUAUAUACUGCCUCUCAGAAAGUCCUUCCUUAAGGUGUACAACUGAACACCUUAAAAAGUAACCAAACCAAACCACUUAUUUCAUUUUAUUUUGUCUUUUACACCUUUGUGAAAUAAUGUUUAUUCCCAUCGUACCUCGUUAAGGAAUUAUAAAUUACAUGCACCGACGGCUGCUGCUCAUCAAUUGUCAGUCGUGCUCUCUUUACACCUGAUAUAGCUGCCAAGUUGAAUUAUGGAAAACGUAAUACAACAUAAACUAGAGGGCAGACAUUGAUUUCCAUAGACAUAUAACAGUAUCAUAAUCAUUCCUAUCCAAGGGAUGUCACAAUCUUCAUGUUGAAAAGCAAACCCCAUUUGUAAUACAUUCCCAAAUUGUAAGGAAUUAAGCCAAGAAUGUCAAAGGAGGAAACAGGAUACAAGUGCCAUCUAUCAUAUGGUUGCCAAUGGGACCUUCAUCUGGAGCAGUCAAACAACCAUUCUCAGUAGGCACUCCAGAGCUGGAGCUAUUAAUUAAUUUAGUUACUACAAUAGUUUCAGUCACUUCAACACUCCCUUGAGAGGUCAAUUGCUUGUCAACCAAAUCUUUGUCAAGGACAACUCCUGGUGUAAGUCGGCUAUCCACCUUUUCAAAAUCGACCUUGUUUUGCAUCAGGCUCUCAAUGUUCAGUUUGUCUUCUUUAACCUCAGAAUUACUAGAACUGGAAUCAGCUUCACCAGGCUCAGGAUUAGAAUUAUGAAGUUCAUUGUCCUCACUUCCACAAACAGAACCACUGGGUGCAGGGGGAUUAAUUAAUUCCUCAGUUCCCAUAUCUGAAUCAAGAAGUAGCUUUUGUGGUAACAAGACCACAAAAAUCACACUGCAUGAAAUAAAUCUUUGUUAGUGAAAUAAACCUAAGUGUAAUACCAAUCUCAUAGGGUAUUAUGAAGAAAUUACAGCAACAACAGAGUUUAGUUAUAUAUAUAUAUAUAUAUAUGUAUGUAUGUAUGUAUGUAUGCAUGUAUGUAUGUAUGUCCAUCCUUUCAGAUUAAGUUUUAUCUUUAUUUUUGGUAAAUAUCCAGGACAGUACUAACAUAAGUAAAAUGUAGAACUCACUAGCUAUCAUGGACCAAUAUAAAUAACUGCUUUAAAUAAUGUGAUAGGUAAUACACAUGCAAUUGUGGAAAAGCAUUAGCUGGCAAGAUAUGUUUUUGCUUCUUUUUAAAACAUAAAAAGGAAAAAAAAAAAAAAAGAUCAUUGAUAAAUGCUUCUAGCAAAGCAGCACAUAUGAACCGACAAAGAGCAAAGUCUACAUUUUUCAAUAUCAUUUGAAAAGAUCAACGACAACAAUUGUUUUAUCCUGCACCAGGAAAAAGCUUUGUGCCUUUAUUAUGCCAAUACCAGUGAGCAAGAUGAACACAUAUAUUUAAGUACUCCUUUAAAUUAUAGGAAUAAAAAGGGGCGGCAAUGUGUAAGGUUCCAUUUUCAAGUCCCAGAAGGAACAAAAAAGGAAAAAAAGAAAAAUUAUAGCAGUAAAAAUGGGAAAACAAGACUUCACAAACCAAAAUCAUAAUAAAUAGCAAGUAAAAUAAAAAUCCAGUUUACUUAUUUUAAUUUCGACACAUGGACAUAAGGGCAUCCUAAUGAAUGACAUCCCCAUAGAUUUGAUACUGAAAAGGAUAAUCUUGUAUAUCCCUUGGAACAUAUGCCAUCAUGAAUAAGUAACAAAACCCAUUGGGUUGUGGACUGUAAAUCAUGGCCUUACCAAGCCUAACUACAAAGGGUUUCUUGAGUUGACAUCUCUUAUCCUUUGAAUUGGUAGAAAAAUUCAUUUACAAGGAAGUCAUGAAAAUAGAGAGAAACCCAUUAAGAUGUGGACUGCAAUUUUCAGCGUGUCUGACUAAAAAUGGUUUUAUGAGUUCACAACUUGGCACCACUUGCAUUCUUGGUUAGCAGGAAAUAAGAUUUUGGAUACUCACCAACACAAAAAUAGCCAUAAGUUCAUUACUAGGGAGAAGUUUUUGGAGUUUAUAAGAAUUCUAGUUUCAGAACAACUGCAUAUUCUAUUGCAUUGCCAAGGAAGUCAAAAAAGGAACUGGCCCUUGUGAUGCCCUUGAAAAAUUAUAAUGUUGCUUCCUGGAUUUGAAGGGAUCAAUUUAGAUUUGUCUCCCGAAUUCAAUCUACACUAACGAAUGACUACUAAUAACGCAAAUUUGAACUCAGAAGAACUCACAAUGAAUAAUUGAUAAACCCACAACUUAAACAAGAAAAUAUAUCUCAUCUGAAUUGCUAAAAUUUGUCCCAUUCUUACGCCAUAACCCAUACAAUGGCCCCAUAGCUAAAACCCAAAAUCCCAGUUUAUCAACUCAUAAUUUAUCCGAAAGAAUAAACCCAAAAUCAUAGAAUACAGCGCAAUUGAAGCAAAAGAGCACCUUCUUUGUCUACACACUAUGUUUUCUAUUGUAAGACCAAUUAUACAACUUGGGUCUUUUGGUGGGAAAAAAGUGUUUCAAUUUAAAUUCACUGAAUUUUCAAAUAGUAACGCUAUCUAGGUACCAUAAAAACCAAUAAAACUUCUGUGGCCUUGCUCUUGCUUCCUAAAAUAAAAAAUAUUAGGAAAAAUCUAAGAAAGAACAAAUCUCCUGAACCAAGCCAAACAGUUCAAAAGGGUCCUUAUUUCUUGUUUCCCGAGCAAUGAAAAUUCUAAUUCAACGGAAAAGCAACAAGAAUAAAAGAAAAAGAGAAUUCAGCUGUAAAAUUCUUUCAUUCUUCUUACCUUAUCUCAGCAACAAACCGUGAGGCAAGGCCAAAGGCGGAUUGAAUCUGGGAGAAAAUUUGCAGGAAUUUGGUGGGUAAGAGAUUAGGGUUUUGAAGAAAAAAUCUCAGGAAAAGCUGAAACAAUGAUAGAUCUCAGGGAUUUCAUUUGUCUAUGGGCGGAGGGGAAAAGGAUCAGAUGCAUCGCCGACAGGGUGUUCCAUCAUCCGGGGCAAUCCUGACUUUCUAUGUUACAAUUGGCGGUACAGAUUUAUACGUGGCGCUUUUUGGGUCGUCGGAUCAGUGGCCCACCGUUCUUUUGACCUUUUGACUAUUCAAUUUUAGAACAAACAUACCAAAAUGCCCUUGCCCAUCUUUUGCCUCUAAGGAAGAUGCGUCUCUGAAUUUAACGGAUCAUAGACUACUUUAUUUUUCUCUCCUUUUCUUUUCCCUUCUCUUUUCUGCUGAGUUUCAGGAACUAAGAACACAAUUUGACUUUAUGGACUUGAUUUUGGCCUUUAUUCUGUGGAAAUUUUCUCACUUGAACCGUCAAGGUAUAUUUACAUUCUUCACAAAAAUAUAUAUAUAUAUAUAUAUAUAUAUAUAUAUAUAUAUAUAUAUAUAUAUAUCUAUAUAUAUUAUAUAAUUAUUUUCUUAUUUAUAUAAUAAUUUUUUAAAAUAUUUUUUAAAAAAUAAAUAAAAACAACAAAAAAUAAUUAAAAUAUAUUCUCAUAGUCACAGGUGAAUAUAACACACUCUCUAACAUUUCUAGAGACCAAAGAAUUUAACCAUGGCAUAUCAAACAGAUUAUCCAAAACACCAACUCAACAUUGUAGUCAUGAAAAUAAUUACUGGUCAGACAUCAGAAUGAAACUAAAAAUCAGGAUGCCUUCUAGUUGAUUAAAGAUUAAGAUUACAAGGUUCCGCUUUCUAGUUUGUUGAAGACAGGGAUCUCCUCUUCAGCCAUAUGCUCAUAUCACUCUUCUGCAUCGACUCCAUUGCAUCUCCUUUAUCAUGCUGGUUUGACCUCCCUCAGCUCUUCAAAUGGUUUCUCCAUGAAUAAUGGGCUCAUUGAACUUGUCGAGCUUGAUGCCGGCUCAGAUGAACUUCCCAGAUAAUCUUCUUUGCAAAUCCUAUCAUCACUAGAGCUACCAUCUGCUAUAGGUGCCUUUGCCUUUGCCUUUGCUUUUGCCUUGGCUGCAGACUCCUUGUCUUCGAAGGAAUGCCAGCUAAUCUCUCGGUCACUGUAGCUUUCUCCUGAUGAGGCAUCACUUACCGUGUGGAAAAUUGUAACACUCUCUUUCUUAGCACCUUGAAAAGAAUAGCUUCUUGUUUUCCCAUCAUAUAAUGGGAGGAGAGUUUUUCUGUGUAAGCCAGUCACAUCCCUGCCCAAACUGUACGUUGUUGAGAGCUUCCUCUGUAUGCCUUCCCUCUCCUGGACCAAAUCCCCUAAUUUUUCAAGCACUGCACUGGUGGAGGCUUCCUCUGCAGCCUUUUUCUCUAGCUCGGUGAUUGUCCUGUCAAAUUCCUUUUUUUGGAGUCGAAGAGAAUGCUGAAGAGUAAAGAAGGUCAGAAGCAUAUCCAUAGCAUUCAACAGUUUUACUGUAGAAAAAUCAUUCUUCUCCAAGAAACCAUGUUUCAGACUAGUAGUGGCUACCUCAUGGAACAAGCUGACCCUAAGCCUGCAGAAUGUUAUGCUUUUUAUAUCACUACAGAAACCCUCUUUUUAUUACAAAAUCCUACAGAAGUUAUCUUAAUCCCACCUCUUUGUUGUGCAACAUUUUUUAACCUUGUAUAGCAUUCAGCCCCUCACACUUUAGUGAAGCAUAAUAAAUGGAAGCAAACAGAAGAGCUCAUAAGCUUACCCGCUUUUCUAAGAAUUUUCCGAGAUCUUGACCCUGAAGCUUCUUUUUCCUCCAAAAUAUACAACAGAACCGUACAAGACCAGCUAGUAGGACUAGGACAGCAGAUUCGAAUAACAAGAACAACAGUAUCGCCCUUUCAUUACCUGGGAAAAGCAGCAAUGGCAAUUCAAAGCAGUUCAUGCACUAUGUUUCACAUGUAGCUGCAACUUACCCGUGUAGAUGCUGAGAUACUUGGGCCUUGCCUCGGAACAACUAGCUGCAAGCUUUUGAUCUGGUAGGAACAGAUGGAUUAAAGUAUAAAACACAUAAUGAAGUUCAUGGAAAUGUGAAGGCAGUUAUGGGAUUCCUUACAUGUGGUUCGACAUGGCAGCGGAUUGCCAAUCUCUGCAUCAAAUAGGAAAAAGUGAAAUUUUCAGUUUUGAGAUUAGUAGAGGUUAAAAUGCAUUAGCAACAUAAAACAUGAGAAAUUUCCUCUCUUGGAGUUAUACUUAAGAGCUCACUAAAAUUUUAAAGAAGAUGACAAAUAAAAUCUUUAACCUUGAAGAAGAAAUUCAAUUUCAUCAGGUCUCUAGAAUGACUCAGAAAAAAAGGACCUGUAUUAAGUGUUCAUUUCCGGAAUUUUAGUAAGUUUACUUGACAGGGGAGUAUCGACUUAUGCAUAAAUACCAAGCAUCAUAUCAGGUGAGCAAGAAGACAGCAUCUACAGUCCGAUUCAAGCUGAAAAGUACAUAAAUAAGUUUUCAGACUACCAUUUGAUGGUAGUCAACUUGGGAACAUCUUUAGUGGUGCAGGGGACCUCUACAUGAACUCCACUUUAGUCUACAAUUCCACAUACCUAGCGAAAAAAAGAUUGGGACCCAAAAAUAAAGGGCUCAUAUCUAAGAUGUCUAUAAUUUAAAAAAGGAUGACCAGACCGGUUUCAAUUGGACGGUGGAAGAUUUUUUACAAAAUGUAACAAAAAUCAUUCAAUUAGAGAGUCUAGAGUUAUCAUUUCUGGUGGUUCCUUGACAAAUAAAUGUGAUAUUGUGAGAAAACCCAAUGUUCACAUAUAGGAGAUUGUGUGUAAUUGUAAAUAUUGUUAACCUAGAUUAGGUCAUUUCGAUGGUGAAGUAAUCCUUUUAGGGAUUCAAGUUAGGAUAGAAUCAAGCCCUAAAUUAUAGGGAAUUAAUAUUCUAGAUAGGGAAGAAUCUGCUCCCAUUUUCUAGCCUAAAUCGUGCACCUGUAAAAUACCAAAUGUGCUAUAUAUUGCCUAGGGUUGGAAAAAGUCAGAUGAAUGAAAAAUUUUGAUUUCUUCACAUGGUAUUAGAGCACUAGGCUCACUGGGAACUCCCUUUUUUUUAUUUUUUUGGCCUUGUGUCUUUGUCCUUCAAGCUUCUUUCUCAGCCUUCUCUGUCAAUGUUGCUGAACUUUUUAUUUGCCUUCUUACUGUUGUCCUUUCAUUUUAGCAGUUCUAUUUAAAGCCCAGUUUAUACUUUUGGUUUGGUUACCUGAUAUCUAUCCAAAACCAAGCCCAGUUUAUACCUUUGGUUUGGUUACCUGAUAUAUAUCCAAAACCAAGAGUUAUAAUGUCAGAAAUCGUUGAAAAAUCCAAUCCCAAACUAACAGUGGCAGAAAACACAAACUCAUCAUCAACAGGAGAGUUGCAGAAAUGUUCAGGUAGCAUAUGGGCUAAAUAAGAAAAACUACUUGAAGUGGUCUCAAGCUGUUCAAACCUUUCUAAAAGGGAAGGAUAACCUGAGUCAUCUUCUGGGAACUAGACCGAAGUAUGAUCCAAGGAUUCCAUGGUAAUGUCUUGGGUAUGGAAUUCUAUGUUACCUAGAAUAAGUGACACCUGAAGGAGAUUUGGGAGGCAGUUCAACAAACCUACUCAAAGGUUUGUGAUGCUGCACAUAUCUAUGAGAUCAAAACUAAGAUCUCAACCACCAAUCAAGGGAGUUGAUCAAUCACAGAGUAUGCCAAUCUCCUGAAGAUCUUGUAGCAAGGGAUGGACCAUUAUCCGUAUAUUCAACUGAAGGGCAAUGAGGAUGCGACUAUGGUUAAAAGACUCGUAGAAAAAGACUGAAUUUAUGACUCUCACUGGAUUAAACAUAAAGUUUGAUCUAGGUUGAGUUCAAGUAUUGGGAAAGGAAGAUCUACCUUCACUAAAAGAGACUAUUGCUAUAAUCCGAGUAGAGGGAGGAAGGAGAGGAGUUACGGUUUUGUCCUUGUCAACAGAAAGCUCGACCAUGGUCUCAAAAGGCAUGAAGAAUUCUAAUCCUGAUCAACAACAGUUUGGUGGAAGCAAUGAGCAAUCGGAUUUCUCUAAAAGCAUAAAAGCAAAAAUAAAGAUACCUUGUGGUACACCUACUGCAAAAGGCCUCACCACAUCAGAGAUUGCUGCUACAAACUUCAUGGAAGGCCACAAACUGUAUCAAUGCCCAACAGAAACCAGAAUGUGAGAAACAACCAUCAAAGUGGGCAAGGAUAGGCCCAUAUGACGGAUACACGAUCCAUUGGUGAAGGAAUCCCUCAAGACAAAGAGGAAGAUCAUAAAGAAGGUGUGUUCAAUCGAGAUGAGAAUGGGAAGCUAAAAACAUUGUUGGGAACUCUAGAGAAACCUAUGGGUGCAGAUACUUGUUCACUAGCACUCUUAGGUGUGUAUCCUUUUUCUCUUGCAUUUAGUGUCUUAAAUACCCCCUUUUCUUUCUCAUGGGUAAUUGACUCAAGGGCCACUGACCAUAUGACCCAUUCCUCACACAAGUUUGUCACAUACAACCUGUGCCCUAGUAGUAAGAAAAUUGCUACUGUUGACUACAUUGACAACAAUUAUUGGCCAAGGAGAUGUCAUAAACCAGUCCUUUAUCCUAAAAAAUGUCCUCCAUGUUCCAAAAUUGUUCACUAAUCUUGUAUUAAUCCAUAAACUUUCUAAAGAUUUGAAUUGUAUUGUAACAUUUUAUCCCUUUUUUUUUUUCAGGACAAGGGUAUGGGAAAGAUGAUUGGACAUGCUAGGGAGCAAAAAGGACUUUACUAUCUUGAAGAACUAAGUGGGCAAACUAAUACGGAGAAUCACUUACCUUUGUCUCUAAUUUUUUAGUAUGCCAUUUCCAAUAAGAAUAAAGUUUGGUUUCAUCAUCAUCAUCUUGGUCAUUUUUUCUUUAGCGUUCUUAAGUUUAUGUUCCAUUGUUAUUUGAAGCAAUUGAUGUUGAAAAUUUUCACUCUGAUGUUUAAACUUGUAAAGCAUAAACAUGUUUCUUUUCUAAUCAGUAAUAAAAGAAUAUCUAUUCCUUUUUCACUCAUUUAUAGUGAUAUUUAGGAACCUUCAUUAGUUCCUAAUAUUUCCAGGCUCACUAGUUUAUUUCAUUGAUAGAUGAUUGUACCCAUGUAAUAUGAAUCUUUCCUAGGGAAAAAUAAAUCAGAUAUAUGUUCAGUUCUCCCAACCUUUCACAAAAUGAUAAAAAAAAUAAAAUAAAAUCAAUUCGGUGUUGAAAUUAAGAGAUUUAGAUCAGAUAAUGCUAGAGAUAAUUUCAAUCAAAUUCUGUCAUCAUACUUUCAAAAGGAAGAUAUAAUCCAUGAGUCCUCAUCCAUCAGCACAUCUCAACAAAGUGGGGUGGCUGAAAGGAAAAAUGACCAUCAUCUAGCCGUGACUAGGGCCUUUCUUUUUCACAAUAAUGUUCCAAAAACUAUUUGGGAGAAGUAGUGCUAACUGCUACUCAUCUCAUAAAUCGAUUGUCUUCCUGAGUUCUUGAUUUCAAAAAUCUUAUGCAAAUCUUUUCAAAAUUCUUUCCUGACUUCAACACCACCAACCAUCUCAUUCCUAAAGUCUUAGGGUGUGUUUCUUUUGUCCACAUUCACUUUCAUAAUCGGGAAAACUAGAUCCAAGAGCUCUUAAAUGUAUCUUUGUGGGAUAUUCUUCCACACAAAAUGGUUACUAGUGUUAUCCCCCCACAAGAAAAUUUUAUGUCCCUGCUAAUGUUACCUUUGUUACAAAUGAAACCUACUUUUCUCAUCUUUAUCUUUAGUGGGAGACAUCUGUUAUAGAAGAUAAGGAAAAAGAUCUCUUCUUGCUUGAUCUUCCAAGUCAUUCUCAUUCAUUCGGCUAUGCACCCAAACAUAGACAACCUUCUUCUCCCUUCGACACCAACCAUCCCCUUUCUGAUUCUUCCAAAUCCAAGCCUGGUACACCUAGCUCAAGAAAUCCAGCAAAGGAAAACAAGUUCAAGGUACAACUCGUCCAUUAUAGGUUUAUUCCAUAAGGACAAGAUCCAUUGAUCAACCUAUGCAAAUCCAGGAGUUAGAACCAGCUCCUAGUAUCGAGAUCACUAGUAGUUUUGAAUCUCAUCUGGAAAUGAAUUCUAGUUCUAAUGAUGGUAAUCUGCCCAUUGCUAUUCAAAAAGGCGCCAGAAAAGGCACUCAAUUUCCUUUAUAUCCUUUGUCCUAUUUUGUGCCCUAUGAUAAAUUGUCACACACCCAAGACCUUUCUUACUUUCCUAAAUAGUAUAACCAUUCUAAGAAAUUUAUUCAAGGGAUUAGAUCAUUAGGAGUGGAAAAAUGAUGUGAGAGUGGAGAUGGAGGCCCUUGAAAAGAACAAGACAUGGAAGUUAGUACAAAUGCUAAAAGGAAGAGUCUAACUGGGUGUAAAUGGAUUUUUAUGGUAAAGUACAAAGCUGAUGAACCCUAGAAAGAUACAAAGUUAGGUCGGUGGCAAAGGGAUAUACUUAGACCUAUGGGAUUGACUAUAUUGAGACUUUUACUCCAGUUGCGAAGAUGAAUAUAAUAAGAAGACUUCUGUCAUUGGAUGCACAUCAUGAGUGGAAUUUACACCAGUUUGAUGUUAAAAACACCUUUCUACAUGGUGAUCUUGAUGAAGAAAUUUACAUGGAAGUCCCUCCCGAUUUUGAAUCACACUCAAAAGGAAAAAUGACAAGUAAGCUCAAAAAGGCAUUGUAUGGGUUGAAACAAUCUCCUAGAACUUGGUUUGGGAGAUGUGUGAAAGCUAUGAUAGGGUACAUACAAAGCCAAGGAGAUCACAUAUUGUUUGUUAAACAUUCUACCUUGGGGAGCCAAGAUCCUAUUAGUGUAUGUUGAUGAUAUUGUAGUAACAGGAGAUGAUUUAGAAGGAAGAGAAGCCCUAAGAAAAUGUUUAGUAAAGGAAUUUAAGAUAAAAGAGCUUGGAAAAUUGAAGUACUUUCAGGGUAUUGAAGUUGCUCACUUUCAUUAAGGAAUUUUUAUAUCACAACAAAAGUAUGUGUUAGAUCUGUUGAAAGAGAAAUAAAACAAGGUGUAGACCAACAGAACCACCCAUUGAACAGAAUAAUAGACUCAGAGAGGCUCAUAGAGACACUGUCAUGGACAGGGGCAUGUAUGAAAGGCUCAUUGGGAGACUAAUUUUUCUCCUGCAUACCAGGUCGGACAUAAUAUAUGUAGUCAACAUUGUCAGCCAAUUUAUGCACAAUCCCAAAGAAAUCUUCAAGCAAUGUAUCAAAUUUUACUACACUUGAAGGGAGCACCAGGAAAAGGGAUAUUGUUCAAAAAGGGAGAGAGGUUAAUGCUUGAAGCAUACACUAAUGACGACUAUGUAGGGUCUCUACUUAAUAGGAGAUCCACAUUUGGUUAUUAGAUAAUCUUUAGAGGGAAUCUUGUAACAUGGAGAAGAUGCAGAAUGUAAUCACUCGAUCAACUGUAGAGGAUGAAUUUAGAGCAAUGGAACUAGGGGUUUGUGAGCUUUUAUGGCUCCAAAUAAUUUUGGAAGAUCCGAAAAUUAAGUGGGAAGGACCUAUGAGACUCUAUUGUGACAACAAAUCAACAAUUAAUAUUGCCCAUAAUCCAGUGCAACACAAUUGUACCAAGCACAUACACUUCAUAAAAGAAAAACUGGAUGGUGGAUUGAUUUGCACUCUUUUUAUAUCCACUAGAGGACAACUUGCAUAUAUGCUAACCAAAGGUUUAAACAGUGCUAUUUUUCAAACUAUCAUUGGCAAGAUGGGAAUCACCAUAUUGAGGGGGAAUGUGAGAGAACCUAAUUUCACAUAAUACGAGAUUGCGGGUAAUUGUAAAUAUUGUUAACCUAAAUUAGACCAUUUUGGUGGUUAAGUAAUCCCUAAUUUUUAGGGAUUUAAAUUAGGAUAGAAUCAAUCCCUGAAUUAUAGAGAUUUAAUAUUCUAGAUAGGUUAGAAUUUGCUCCUAUUUUUCUAGCCCGGAAUAGUGCACCUGCAAACUACUAAAUGUACUACUAUAUAUCACCUAGGGUUGGAACACUUCGGAUGAAUGAAAAUUUCUGAUUUCUUCACAAAUACAAUAGGAAUACGGUGCAUAAGAAUUUGUGCUCCAGCUUUGAGGCCAGAUGCAAUUGUUCCUUCAACUUAUCCACAUUAAACUGAUGUCUAAAGACACUAAAUCUCAAGACAGGCUGGAAAAGGAGAAAAAAAAGAUUAGUGAGUACUUGAAAAUGACAAUUCCCUACAAUUUUCUAAACAGUUUUAUACAGGUAUAGAGUUUCAAGCCAAAAUGGAGGGAAAAAUAAAAAAUAAAAAAGAAUUUUUUGUGAGGAGUGUAAAUUAUUUACUGAGAGAAUCUCACUUGAAGCAGCAACGAAAGCAAGAAGGACACUCUCAUCCAGUACAAAAUUUUGCAGAUCAGUCUCGACGAGUAAGGAUGAGAACUUUCCUGUUAAUUAAACCACUGAAAGCAAUUAGGGUAUGAAAGUGAAUUUCAGCUGGUGAAAAUUAAAAUCCGCAGGAAAGUUCCAACAAAUAGGAAUCACCAGGAUAGCUUUCAGACCAAUAGGUGGAGCCAGUUGAUGGAGCCAACAUUGUGAAUACUACAUUUCUGGGUUUCAAUGCUGAGAUACAAGUGUAUUCACCAGUGACAUGGCUAAUCUUUUCCUCCAUCUCUGUCUGAGAGAUAUAAACUGCAUAGCCAGAGCAAUCAAGAAGUGGACUAACUUGAACCACAGAAUCUAGUACAGCUGCUCUUGGGAAUUUUUUUAAACUCCCAGUUGGUGAAAAUGAAUAUAGAAACCCAUCCAAAGAACCAAUAGAUAUCCAGCCUGUCAUAGCAAAAAGAAAAAGAAAUAAUUGAGCAUGUUCAUUAUGUUCCACAACAGUACCAAAUUAAUCACCAGAGUCUCAUUCACCACACAACUCAAAUAUAGCAAGUAUAGUUCAACAAACCUUUAUUUAGUCUUAAUUGUUAAAUAUAGUUACAAAUAGUUUCAUAUACUAACAUGUUGCUUGAACCCCUCCAUCUACCCCAAACAAGCACUCUUCUAAUCCCAUUUUCCCAACUUAGUUCAAAAAUUCCUAUCGAGCUUUGUCAUGUACACACACACACACACACAUGUAUAGUUCCCAAGUUCUCAUUCAUCACAAGUUAUCAAUUCAAAAUUUCCAUGAGAAGCCAUCAAAUUAAUCUAUAGUUCAAGACAUGCAUGGAACAUUUAUUUACCAUUUGAAUCAACAACUGGUGCACAUUCUGUUGUACUUAAUGGUCCAGUAUUCCUCUGCCACAGAAUGUUUCCGGUAGUAACAUCUAGUGCCAACACAAGCACUCUAACUGGUACAGUAACAUACAGACAGCCAUUGUUUCCAGGGGUGAUGGUGAAAACUUUGUCAAAUGAACUAAAAUCCUGGAUCCAUUUAAAUUGAGGGCUACGAACUGACAAUGAAUAUAUUUCUCCUUCUGUAUUUGACAUCUGCAGAGGUAAAGCAUAGAUACAAGUUCAUGUAUAUAAAAAGAGAAAAUAGUCCUAGAAGCAUGAUCAGUUGUACACAACCAAACGGACUACAAAACAGCUUGUAGUCAACCACUUUUAAAACUUUAACAUUCAACUAUGUAAAUGAACUCAUGAAAAAGGAACGGACUUUACCAAGGAAAUCUAUACUGAGGUGAUGUGAAAUUAUGCUGAUUUUAAGGUAGUGAUUUUUCCAGAGAACCUCCAAACCAACACCUUUUUGUCAUCAAAAGACCUUAGAAAAUUAUUUCCCUUGCCCACAUCAUCAUCAAAACUUUUGCCAUGCAGAAGAAUUUGACAGCGUAGAAUGACUCUAAACAGUUAUAGACCCAAAAUUGGAAAAAUGGAAGAAACAGAACAGAGAUGUGUGGACCUUACAUAUAUACUAGCCUCACAUCGAUCAAUCACUGGGAUUGAAGAAAAAUAACAGUCUUUAACAUUCUGCUUACAACCUUGACGGUAGCCAAAUCGAUAAAGCACAGGUCCAGCACUCCAGCGCAGAUGUCCAUCUAAACUGUAUGCAAAGAGUCCUCGGUUUUUAACAUUAAUAAAUACAGACGAACUUGACGUGCUCACUGAGAGCCCUAUAAUUUCACCUGAUACCUCUUGACCUGGUUCUGGACCAAAGAACACUUCUGCAGCAGAUUCAGUUGUUCCAAUAUUUGAAGGAUUGAUUUUCAUUACUCUGUUUUCUGCAACCAAAUAUAUCUGCCAAUAAUAGGGUUGCAAGAAUCAAUAACCAAAGAGAGUUGCAGAAGAGAUUAUGGAAAGCAUAUGAUGGGUUCAUAUUGGGAUGAAAGAUAUUAAUAAGGAGACAAACUUUUCGCUCCAUAUGAGCUGGGCUUUCAUAGAGCUAUUCACCAGAUAUUGAACCUUAAGGCAAAAUUACAGAGAACAAGCAUGUGAGAAAAAAAUGGCAUAUUGAUGUAUCUCUAUCAUGUAUCAAGUUCAGGCUGCUCUUAACUCUUUAAGCCAAAAUUUUCUCUCAUUACAUGAUAUUAUUACUAUUAUAGGACAAAGGAAAAUCUAUAAUUAUUCUUAACCUGACAUGGCUAGGGAAAGAAAGGUUCAGUUGUUUCCAUGACUCUACCAUCCACUCAAUUCUGUUCCACGUAAUCCUUAUUUCACGACCAAAUAUCUUUCCUUCUAAGGAAUAGGAGAUCCUUCUGCUCUUAGGUGAGUCCAAUUUUCAUCCGCUUAUGCGUGAAAUUCUCAAACAGCUAUACAGGCCCAGGCAUAAGCACAAAAUAGAAUGAUGAAUCUAAUUUUCAUCUGCUUCUGAGUGAAAUUCUUGGACACCAAUUAAGGCUCAGGCAUAAGAAGGGAAUAGAAAAAUAGCAAUAAAAAUCCCAGUCUAGAGAGAAGAAAAGUUGACUGUUAUUGCCUUGGCUGCAGUGUUAGCCAGGUUUGACAGCAUUAUGUCUUUAUAAGGCUCAGGACUAAUAAGCGAAUAGAAAAUCUGAUUUUCAUCUGCUUCUGGGAAAAUUCUUGAACAGGCAUAAGAAGGGAAAAAAUCUGAUUUACAUCUGCUUCUGGAAAAUUCUUCAACAGGCAUAAGAAGGGAAUAGAAAAUAUGAAUUGAAUUUUCAACUGCUUCUGGUGAAAUUCUUUAACACCAAUAAUGGCUCAGGCAUAGGAAGAGAAUAGAAAUAUAGCAGCAGAUGUCUCAUUCUAGAGAAUAGAGGAGUUGGCUGUCAUUGACUUGUCAGCACUCAGCAGCAGUAACCAGGUUUAACAGUGUUAGAUCCUUCCACCAAGAGAUUAAUAAAACAUUUUAUAGUUGAGCAUAUUGGGUUAUCCUCAUCAUCCUCAUCCAUCUUUAUUCCAAUUAUUUGGAGUCAGCUGCAUAAAUCCUUAUCCACCAUGGUCUGCUAGCCUUCUAUUAGACCAUGUAAUGCCACUUUUUUCAGUCAUCACUAUCUGAUCUUGUUGUUUUCAAUCUGUGCCAGAACACCUCUAGUUAUGCAUCUUUGGAGCACAAGAUGUGACCUUCUUAAUUACUUAGCCUCUAUCAUAUCAUCUUGAGGGUUCUCUUAGGCUUCCUAUUGUGGAUCAUCCUGAUAUUAUCCAUCUUACUCAUUUCACUUUACAUCUUAACAUCCUUGGUCUCAAUAAGCAAGUUGUUUUUUGAUUUUUCAGUGCUCUACUCCAUAACAAUUGCCCCCCACCCCCAGAUUAAAAAAAAAUAAAACAGGCUGAUUAACAAUCUCUACCAUCAAUAGAGUCCUUCCCUUGAAAUUCUCCUCGAAAAUCUUGGCAGUCACGAUGUAAUAUAUCUAAUCCAAGUGCUUAAUGAGGUUAGUGCCUCAACCUAUUACCUACUUCCUCAACACACAAAUUCCAUGUGUCUAUAAAGCAUUGAAGAUCCUAAGCUUUUUUUCUUCAAAUGAUGGUUUUGCAUGAAUGUUACUUCAUAUUAGUAUUUCAAUUGAUGUACAAUCCGGUCAGGAACUUGACGAAUCUUAAGUAUCUGCUAAUCUGAGUUUACUUUUUCCAGGUUAAUGCAUCAUAUCUGGGCAUUGCAUUUGUUGGAUAUGUGCUGAAUAUGUAACAGCAAUUAGUGAGAGAGAUUUGAAUGAAGCAAAUCAAGCCAGAUCUCUUACCUUCCCUCUAUCUCCAUGAACUGGAGCUAUACCAACAUUGCAUGUAUAGUUUAGAGGGACAGUCCAAGAAAUAGAACCAUUCCGUUCAAAAGCAAAUAGGUUCCUUUCAGAACAAGUAUAUACCCUCCCAUCAUAUCCAAUUAGAGGAUUGGAAAGCCUGCAAGCAGUUUUUUGGGAAGGCCCCUGUGCUGAAACAGAAGAAACUGUAUUACAAACCAUCUUUAUCCGCAGUGAUGAAUUCAUACAAAAGACUCAUAUCAAUAUGUUAUAUGUACCCCCACAGAUUUGAGAACUUUUUAUAGGUUGCAUAACUACCCCUCAUAAUUGAAACAAUUUAUCAGUUUUUAAAUAGAAUUUCAAAGUAGCCCAUUCAGCUUCUGAUACCAUCAAAAGGAAUUGGGAUUUUUUUCCAUUACAAUUUUUGCAUUUUCAUUUUCCAAUAUGUGACCUCACUUCUGUUUCAUUCAUUGAAAGUUGAAACCAUGCCAGAUUUAUUCAAAUACAAUUUCUAGUACAAUUGUGUAAUCAAGUGCUAUGUUAAUAAUGGGCUAGUCUAUUUCCUGGCAAAUAUCGGAAUCCAAUUUUAGAUAAAUGUCAAUAAUCUGAGGUUGAAACAGUUUGUUUCAAAUUGCUACAGAGCUAUUUCCCCAGCAACUUAUCUUCCAGUCGUCCCUUCAAAUAAUCCAUUUUAAGGCUGACUAUAGCAGCUAAAACUAUCUCAGUACUUUUUCCUUACUGAAUAUAUUGUGUCUUGUCUUAAUUUAACUUCUGAUUGGUUGCUGAGGACAAGUAGUCAGUGCUUGGAUCUGCCAGAACAGAAACCUCAACACAAUUGGCUUAGUUCUAGUGACAACAUGAAGACAGAUUUUCCUUUCUUUCCUUUUUCCUUUGGUUUUCUCAGCAACCAAACAGAGCGUCAUAGAGAAACAAUUUCUAGAAAAAUAAAGAGGAAUUGCUAUCAUUAUUGAAUUGCACCUCAGUUUUCCAAUAAACUGAUUUCUACUUAAACAAACAGUACUACAAGGAAAGAAAAUUUCAAAAAGGGCAAAUUAAGAGAGAGUGUGCGUGAGACCUGAAAAUGAUGGUGCAUUUGCAGAGUUAUUCUGGAAUUGCACGGACAGAGAAACAAUCGAAGCUGAUUGGAGAAGGAAGAGCGAAAAGAUUUGGAACCGCAUUGAAGAGACUGCAGAGAAUCGAUUUUGCAAGCGAAGUGGUUUCUAGGGUUCUGUUGUCUGUGUAGUUUGAAAAAUAACGGUUGCUAACCGCUCUGUACGUGGCCGCAACAGAACCUCUGUACGUGGCCGCAACAGAACCGGAGUUGCCGGUCCUGGCAUCUCAUGCUUUGAGCAGCAUGGAUUCUCGUAAUUUCAAAAAAAAAAAAAAUAUUUAAUUAGCCUCCGUUCACUUGGUGUGUGUUUAAAUAGAUUUUUUUUUUUUAUGUUUUUUAAAAAUAAAAAAUAAUAAUAACCUUUACAUAAAAUACAAAAAAUAUUUAUGGUAUGUUUGGAAAAAAAAUUAAGAAUUUCUCUAAUUUCAUUGUGAAAAAAGAAUAAAAUAUAAUUAAUAUUAGUUAAAAAUGAUGUAUUUUCUAUUAUUAUUAUAAAAAUUUUCAAAUAAGUAAAAUGAAUUUAGAGUAAUAUAUAAAAAUAAUUUAGUGAUUUUAAAUUUAUUUUAUGUUUUUUUUGUUACUUUUUUUUCCUUCUAAUUUUUAUGUAUGGUUCUUGAAAAAUAAUAAAGAGAAAAUAAAUAUUAAAGAAAAUUAUUUUCUCAUGUUUGGUUUUAUUAUGAAAAAUAUAAUAGAACGUGAUGUUUCAUAUUGGAUAGGGGAUAAAAUUUUUAACAUUAUAUGAAUAUGAGUCUCUUAUAACCAUGUAAAUGUGUUUUAAAGUCAUGAGGGACAUUUGGACUAAAAGUGGAUAAUAUUUAUACGAUUGAGUAUAAGUCGUUAUAAAUGGUAUUAGAAUUAGGUUUUAGACCUUGUGUGAGGGUUUAUUUGGCCAUGUGAAAGAUUUUUGUUUGUUUAGCCCUAUAAUCUUAUGGGACACAACAAGAACAUUGUGUCUACAUGAGAGGUGUUUGUGAUAUUCCACAUUGGAUAAAGAAUAAAUUUUUUUGCAUUAUAUAAGUAUGAGUUCCUCUUAAAUAUGUAGACACAUUUUAAGGCUAUGAAGACCUUUUUGGGUCUAGAGCAAAUAAUAUCUACAUGAUUUGAUUAGGAUUGUUACAAAAAAUAAAAAAAAAUAAAAAUUCAUACAACCAAGCACUAUCCAAACUUAAACCCAUGCCCUCUUGUUUGCUAUGGAUGCCAUGGGGGCCAUUGAAUUAUAUAUAGUUUCAUUAUUUUGUGAUCUCUCAUAUUAGAUAUGAGAGAAAGUUUUUAAUACUAUAGAAGUAUGAGCCCCCCUUAACCAUGUAAAUGCGUUUUAAAGUCAUAAGAGUUCAUUUGGGCUCAAAGCGGACAAUAUCUACACGGUUGGGUGCAAGUCACUACAAAUGGUAUUAGAGUCAAUAUCUGAUCUGUGUGUGGGGUUUGUUUGGGCCCAUGAGGAGUGUUUGUUUGUUUGACCCUAUAAUUCCAUGGGACACAACGGAGAUGUUGUGUUUGCAUGAGAGGUAUAUAUGAUGUUCCACAUUAAAUAAGGGAGAAAGUUCUCAAUGUUAUAUAAAUAUAAGUUCCUUUUAACCCCUAUGUCUACCUUUUAAAGCAGUGAGGUCCCUUUGAGUCUUAAAGCGUAUAAUAUCUAUACGGUUAGGUGCAAGUUAUUACAUAGAAAGUUGAAUAUGAUUAAAAUUGGAAAAUAACUAAAAUUAGUUUGGAGUAGGAUAUGAAAAUAAGUUUUUGACUUUAAAAUCUAUUUUUUCUUUUCUUUUACUUUUCCUCUUUAAUUUUCCCAUCACAUUUUCUCUCAAACCUUCUAAAAGCCAAACAUUACUGAACUCCUUAUUUACUUUCUCAUAUUUUUAACUCAAGUUUUUUAGGAAUCAAGCAUAACCUUAGAGACUUAUGUUAAAAUUGACUAAAAAAAUUGAGACAUUAAUUUUAUUUUUUAUUAUCUCAAAUUUUAUUUUUAAUUAAAGUAGUUUCUAAGAGAACACACACACAUUUAAAACAAAAUAUGUAUGGAAACGAAGCCUUCAUUGUUAUUUUAUUAAUUAAAAAUUUUUAAAUGAUAAUUCACUUAAUGGAACCCACCAUAUACAUCUAUUUUUAAAAUUUACAAAUUUAUUUUUAUUGGCUUUUAUUAAGUUGAUUGAUAAUAAAAAUUAACUAAUAAUUUAUAGUGAUAGGGUGAAAAAAUUAGGUACUCUUGUAAUUUUAAUCACUUCCAAUUCUCCUUUAAUUUUUAUAUAAAAAAAAUUUGUGAGAAUAUAAAAUUCAUUUAUUUAAAAAAAUUUACAAUGCAAGACGCUACAAAAAUUAAAAAAAGUAAAUCAUUGACUUCCGUUCCAUAUUUAAAAGGAAAAUCCCAAUUAUUAAUAUUAUUAUUAUUAUUAUUAUUAUUGGUACGAUGAGAAUCAUUGUCUUUAGUUUAAAAUCUUUAAAAGAUAAUUGGAGCUGUGAUUAUCAAGAUAGUAUUAAUUUUGAAGUCCCAAAUCCUAAUGGAGGUGUAAAUUGGAAUUUCAAGUGCCCAUGCUAUAAUAAUUCUAAAUCUUAGUAAGUGUUUGGUAAAAUAACUUAAAAUUAACUUAAUAACUUAAUUGAAGUUAUUAAGUAAAUUAAAUAUAUUUGAUAAAGUAACUUAAUUGUAUGAUUUAAAGUAAAAAACAACUUUAAGUAAUAAGUAAAAAUAAUUAACUUGUUCUUAAGUCCAUAUAUUCAUUUUAUAUUUUUAUCCUUAUUUAUCUUAAUUACCUCUAUAAUCCCCUUUACUACUCAACGACCUUCAUUAUUAUUCGACAUUUUCUACCUUAAUUAUAAUUUAUGAGGAUCAAAAUAUCAAUAUAAUGAUUUAGAAUAAAUUAUAAGUUAAUUUUAUUAAACAACCUUAAUACUUAAAAUAAAAAUUAAAAAUAAGUUUUAAGUCAAUAAUUUAAAUAUAAUUUAACUUAAAGUCAAUUUAAGUAAUUAAAUAAUAAGUAUUUAGUUUUAUUAAAUACCCCCUUAUUUCUUAGCAUACUUUUAAUUUUUAUUGCUUUGAGUUAUUAUUUAUUUAUUUAUUUUUAUGUAUGUGGUGAAAUUAAUGAUGAUGAUUUUUUUUUCCAUUAUUUGUUUUAUACUUUUAUAAAAUGAUUUUUCCACUUAUAAAAUAAGUUUGUAUUUUGUUGAUUUUUGAUCAAGGCUUUGGUUUGUUCUUCCAUAUUAUUACUUAAUAAUAAGUGUAAUAUAUUAAACUUCGUAAAUCUAAAAUUCAUUAGGUUUCAUAAUUUUAUCAUUGAACUAAGUCAAACUAAAGGUUUAGUAUAAACAAGUGGGGUGGGGAUGUUUAGUUGUAUGAUUUAAAAAACAGUUUUUUAUUUUAAAAAAUAGAAAACCAUUUUUAAGAUUUUAUAAUAUUGUUUGACCAUUGUUUUUUCUUUCCAAUUUUUAAAAAUAAAGUAAAAUAAAAGAUAGUUUUUAGAGAACAAGUAGAAAUUGUUGUCAUUGGUUUUUAAAAAUAAAAGGAAAAUAUAGAAAAAUUAUAAGAAAAAAAUAUAAAAAUAAAAUGGAACAUGAUAUCAUUCUUCUUUUUUCCAUAAUUCAAUAUCGAUAUUGAAAAUAUUCAAAUAUGAUAUUCUUUUAAAUUACACGUACUUUUUUUUAAUUUUUUUUAAUUUGUCUAAAAUUUUUUAUUAAACAAAUAAAUUCCAAAUUAAACUAUACUUGAUACAUAAAAUUUAUUAAAUUUUAAAAAUAAUUUGAAACUCAAAAACCAAUUUAAUUGGUACUAGAAAGUCAUUCAACUCAACAACAUUAUAAAGUUAUAUACCAAAAUUUAUUUUAAAUGACUUGGUUAGUUUGUUUUUUUACGUAUAUAUUAUAUUUUUUUUUUCACUAUGCAAAUGAACUUUGAAAUCAAGCAAUACUUAAUGUGUUAGAUUCAAUAAAGGGUUUACUAAUUUUUAAAAAUAAAUUAAAACUUAAAUAAUGAUCUAAUUAAUAUUAGAAAUUUAUGGAGAAAAAUGGUUUAAAAUGAUUCUAUUGUUUCUCUUUUACAAGGAAUUAUUAUUUUAAAAACUUUUUUAUUAGACAAAUAAACUCCAAAUUAAAUAAGAUUUAAUACAUUAGAUUUAUUAACAAGUCUAGUAAUUUUUAAAAAUGAUUUGAAACUAAAAUAGUGAAUCUAGAAAUUUAUAGAUAAAAAUAUAUUCACAAUGAUUCUAUUAUUUCUUUUUUGCACAUAUAAAUUUUAUCAAUAGAGAAAUGAACUACAAAUCAAGUAAAAAUUUGUAUUGAAUUUAUUAAUAGGUUUAACAAUUUUUAAAAAUAAUUUGGAACUCAAAAAAUAGAUAAUCACUUCAAAAAAUAAUAGACCAAAAUUGAUAUAUUAUGAGUUAUUUAUAACUUUAUUGUUUUUGUUGUACAAAACUAUAUUUUUUGAAUUUUCUUAUAAGAUAAAUAGAUUUUAAAUUAAGUGAAACAUAAUAUAAUAAUUUAAAUUCUUUAAUGAAUCUUUUAAUUUUUAAGAAUAAUUUGGAAUUCAAAAAAUGGAUCCAAUUAAUUGCAUACUAAAUUAAAGCAUUUCAAAAUACUAUGUUUGUAGGUGAGUAGUGAAUGUGUGCAUGUAAUGAAAAACUUGAUCUAUUUACAUGUUAAAAAAGUUAAACUUUAUUCGUUAUUCAUUUUAAAUAAAAUAAUAUUAAUUUUAUUUUUAAAUUAUUAUUAUUCAUUUUUAACAAAAAAAAUCAAUUAUACUUUUACAAAGAUGUUAAUAAUCAUAUUUUUAUAGCAUAUACUAAAAUAGCUGUUAUGAAAUAUGGGGUUUGUUACAAGAAUUUGUUAGGGUGGAUUAUUAUAAGUUACCUAAUAUUUCUCGAUUAUUGUUGUUAACCUCCUUCCGACUUUUUAUAAAAUGAGGGUUCUACUAAUGAAACUUACACAAAUUUUGAUUCCCACUAUCUCUUCUUCUAUUUCCUCUCUUAUUAUUUUGUUCUUUUAUAACACGUUACCAACACGAGCAUAAUAAAAGAACACUAGACUAUAGCAGAAGAGAACGAGACUAUAGUAAAGUAAAAAAUUUCAUUUUUUUUCCAAAGGAUUCUACAUGAUAAGGUGGGGCAUGAUAUAAGCUUUUCAUUUAUUUUCUAUGGGUAUUGUAUUCUUUAAUGUUCAUGAUAUAAUCCAAACUAGAAGCUAUGUAAAGAAAAAAAAAAGGUUAUAGAUAAACAAAUGUUAAACUCAUUUAGCUUGAAACCAUAUAUCACAAAUUAUAAUUGAGAAAAUAAAGGCUAUGCUUAAAAGAGAAAAGCACCCAAGAGGGGGGUGAAUUGGGUUUUUCAAAAACUUUUUCAACACAACAAAUUCAAACAUAAUAUAAUAAAAAAUAAAGAGAUAGAGUUAGAGAAUUCAAACUCGGGAUUUUAUAGUGGUUCAACACUUCCUUGCCUACGUCCACUUUCCUCAAGCUCCUAACCGAGUGAGGGUUCCAUUAGCUUGAAGUUUCAACCAAGCUUCCAAUCCCUUACACUUGGAUUUCGGCUCUAAUGAGUUCUUACACAAUCUCUUCAAGAUUCAAACCUCUUGAAGGCUUUAACACUCAAGUUUUAUAAGAAUGAAUCCCUCAACCUAGCUCAAAGAUAGGUCAAAUACAAAUCAAAGCUAGGAUGACUCACAAGGGUGUACUAAAAGAUAUGCAAGUGAUGAUUUAAUGCACUAAGAAGGAAAUGAGAGCUUUUAAGGUAAUAACAAACAGGUAGACAAUUGAUUGCAAGUGUUCUCUAUAUCAUAAAUGAAGUGGAGCUCUUAAUUUAUAGGUUUCUAAGCUCGGGAGCCAAGAACAACAAAAAAUAGCCUCAACCGGUCGAGCUAGGGGUCGACCGGUUCACUAGUCAUUGGAGCAUUUAAUGUUUUGGCAGGUUACCGUUGCCUCAAUCGGACCUCGACCGGGAAGGAGGGAACCUCAACCGGGAAGGGAAGGCUACUGGAAGAAAGAGAGUGUUUUUGACACUCCUUGACCGGACCUCGACUAGACAAGGGCAAUUGGUCGACCGAUUCCCCAACCUGUUGAGCCGGUUGGCUAGAGCCUCGACCAGUUCAACCUUUUGGCCCCGAAACCUAUUUUUUUUUCACUUCUUUGCUUUUCUAACACUUAGGCAAGGUCUUUAGGUAAAUUAAUAUGUCAAUUUUGAAACGUUUUGCCUAAGGUACAUUUGAUAAAAACUCGGGUUUGAAUGAAAAUGCAACUUUAAAGAACAAAUCGAGUUUUCCAAAUAUGCAUAAAAAGAUAUGUAAACCCUAGGUGCACCCAUGCAUUUAUCUUACAUUUGUUUCCUAUGAUUAAAAGUCUUCCGAAAGUCUCGAUCUUGUAUCCAUUUGGUCCUUUGAUGAAUUUCCAAUUUAUACAUGAGAUUCUUUACCAUUCAAACCAAUUAGUCACUUAACCAUGAUUUGUUAUCAUCAAAACUUGAUUAGGAGAACUCUUGGGCUAACAAUAAUUAUACAUAGCAAAAUGCUAUGUAAUUAUUAUUCAUGGUAAACUCAUAUAGUUAGAAGUCAUAUGUUACAAAUUAAAUUUAUACAUAACCAAAAGCUAUGUAAAUACUAUUCAUAACCAGUUAUGAAAUAAAUUAUUAAUAUUUUUUCUACGAGCCUAAGAUUGUUGUUUUUUUAUAUGAUUAUUUAUUAUUGUAUAAUAAUUUCUAGAUGUUUAUUAUUGAAAGUUGAAAAAAAAAAUAAUGAUAGUGAUAAAGACUUGCAUGAUAGGAUAUUAUUGCAGAAAAUUUGUUUGUUUGUUUAUUUGUUUAUUUGUUUAUUAUUUUAUUUUUUUUAUUUUAUAGAUUCUAAUUUUGAAUUAUGAGGUUUGAUCAUAAAAUUAGUUUCUUUUAUAUGUAGUAACACAAUUAAUAUUAUUUACUUUGUAAAUAUUUUUACACUUUUAUGAAUAGAUAAAAUUAAAUAAUAAUAAUAUUAUUUUUUUUAUGCAAGGGAUAAGAACAUUUUGAAAAGUUUGUUUUAGUAAGGUAAGAGAAAAAAUGGUGCUAUCUAAUGCCCUCCAAAUUCUAAUUUUGAGGGAAAAAAAUGUGGCAGUUACCACAAGGGCAAGUUUAGCUUUAAAUAAAAAUUUUACUCUCUCUUUAUUAUUAUCUAAGCCACAUUAUACUUAUAUAUAUGUCAUAUCAUUUUUUUUCUCUUUUUUUUUCUCCCUUUAUUAUAAAUUUAUAAAAUUCUUUAUUUAUCAUUUAUACUUCAAGUUUGUUUAUAUUUCUCAUUAAAUCAUUUCAUAUGUAAAUCUUAGACAAUGUUAAACCUCACUAAACUUGAGUUUGUUGCCCUUGAUAUAUUCGAGAAAAACAACUUAUGAUGGAUAUUGAAUACCAUGAACCUUAGGGUAACCAUUAAGGAAGAAAAUGAUGUAUCCCUACAAGAUCGCAUAAAAGCCCUCAUAUUCCUUUGCCAUCACAUUAGUGAAGGGUUGAAAGUUAAUAUCUUUCAAUAAAAGACCCUUUCAUUCUCUAGAACAAUUUGAGAAAACGAUAUAACCACCAAAAGAUUGUGAUUUUGCUCAAAGCACAUUAUGAUUGGCCACAUUUGAGAUUACAAGAUUUUAAGUCUGCUAGUGAAUACAAUUUCACAUUAUUCAAAAUCUACUCUUAAUUAAAACUAAGUGGAGAAAAGGUUAUUGAAGAAGACAUGCUAGAAAAGACAUUUACUAUUUUUCAUGCCUUGAACGUACUCUUGCAACAAAAAUAUCAAGAGCACAUAUUUAGUAAAUAUUCAGAAUUAAUUUCAUGACUUCUAAUUGUUGAAAAAAACAAUGAGCUAUUUGAAAAACCAUCAAUCUCAUCCAAUUGGUUCUAUGCCAUUCCCUAAAGCGAAUGCCAUCUCAUCCCAUGAUUUUAGACGUGGACAUGGUCAAAGACAUAGAUGCGAUCGUGGUAAUGGAAGUCACAAUUCCAAACAUCAUGGUAGUCAUAAUAGUAGAAAUACCACUUACCAUUAGAAGUGGAACAAUACUCAAGCAAAAUCAUUAGAAAAUGAGAAAGAUAUACAAGACACAAACUCAUGAGAAUGAAUGCCACAGAUGUGACAUGAAAGAGCAUUGGUCAUGUACCUUCCGUACACCAAAACAUUUAAUUAUCUUUUACCAAGCCUCAGAAAAGGAAAAAGGAAAAAAAGUUGAGAGAACUUUGUUAAUAAUAAUGGAUUUCAUAACAUAACCCACUUGAAUGUCUUUGAUUUAUUUUUUUUUUAAGAUCUUAACGACAAGAUUGAUUAUUUAAUUGGAGAUGGAUGUGUUCUUUAUGAUUGAUUGUUAUGUCUUGAUAUUAUUUUAUCUUCAUAUGUUUUUUCGUUUUACAAACAUUAAAUUUUAUCUUCAUUUGUUCUUCUUAUUUCCUUAAACUAUGCAACAUUAGCCUGAAGCUAAUGUCAAUACGAUAUUAAGGCUUGAAAACUUGAUUAAAAGGUCUUAAAAGUUUACUAUUUUAUUAUUAGAUAGAACACAAUUCUUUGAGAAUAAUGCUCAAGAUUCUUGAAGAAUAAACAAAAGAUUUCACUUGUAGUAGAUAUCAUAUUCUAAUUAUGAUGAACUAAAGUUCUUUGAAAUAAAGUAAUACAUGUUUUCAUAUGGCCAACUUGAUCCCCCAAGGUUAGCAUUUAUUGUCCUCACAUGGACUUAACAAAAAAAUAAAAAAUAAAAAAAAAAUCCAAAAAUUCACUUUUCUAGUACUUGUCCAUCUAUGGUAACAUAUAUUAUACCGAGUGGUAUUUUGAUUAGACAAUUUUCCUGUCAUUAGGGGGACGUAGUUCCAAAAGAAUGAUGUGAAAAUAAUAAAAUUAUUCGGAAUGCAUAGACUUUGUUUCAUCUUGAUCCUCGUAUAAAUAAAUAUGAACUAGAAGUUUAGAGAAUUAUUGAUUUUCAAAGUAUUGCAAAUCAAUUAUGAGGUCAUUGACACAAGGAUAGUAACAGAGUCACAUAUCCAAAAGGACAAAUCAACAAAAAUUAUAGUAAUAUAAAUUUAAAAUAUACUUGAAACAUGAUAGAUCUAUUUGUUCAAAGGGUAGUAAUUCUCUUGAAGAGACUAACAUAAGGAAAAACACAUUGAAAUAUUGGUUACUCUUGAAGAGACUACAAUUAGUCUUACUAAAGAGAUUGUAAUCAUAAGAAGGGUAAUAAAAUGACUAAUCAAUCUAAAAUUAUAAAUAAAUAGUCCUUAAAAAAGUAUAAAUAAAUAGCCAUAAAAAAACCAACAAAUUAUACAACAUUCCUUGAAAAGAAAUAUGGUUCUUAAAAAUGAAAUAACCCUUGAAGAGGCAUAGGUACACCUAAAAAUAGUGAGAUCUCCAUAUGCCAUAUAAAAUGGAAUCAAAAUAAUGUCUUCUUUCUAAAGUGACUUAACAUCAUUAACAAUGAUGAGCAUCCCAACUGAAAAAAAAAAAAAAAAAAAGUAUAAAACCAUUAGUCAAAGUGGAAAUAAAUAAUCUAAACAAAUCUAAACUCGUUAACAAAACGAGAAAUAUUAGGACCAAAAGUCUAACACCUAAAGACAUUAAAAAAUAGACCUAAAGUUUAAAUCUUAUUUAAUAAAAUGAGUAUUUAUAUUAAAGUGCUAUGAAAAAUGAGAUCAUGAAACAUUAAACAUUACUUACAACAUGGAGUUUUUUGAAGAAACCAUAUGUUAGCUCUUGUAAUAACUCAAUUAUGUAGUAGUCCUAGAAGGACUUAAUACAUACUUUCUAAAUAAAGCUACAACUUAUUUAUAUUGAUCCAUAAACAUUAAUAUAUGUAUAAAUAACAGAAGGAUUAAUUUGAAUGUCUGAAGCAAAUAAUUUAAAAUCUCAAAUAUGGGAACUUUCUAAAGAAUUUAAAAUGCUUGAAGCAAAUUAUUUAAGACCUCAAAACAUGUAUUCAAUCAAGCUACAACAAUCCUUAAAUGGAUUAAAGCAAUCCAGACGUAUGUGGCAUAAUCAUUUUAUCAAAUAUCUUCUAGAAGAAGGGUAUAUGAAUAACCUUAUAUGUCCAUGCGUUUUCAUUAAGGGAUCAAAAACCAUAUUGCAAUUAUAGCAGUAGAUGGUUCAAAAGGUUCAUUGGUAAUACAACCUGCUCAUGGUCUAAUCAACUAGUGGUUUUUAUUAAACCCAUUAUUUUCCCCUUGAGCUUAUAAAUAAACAUAUAAAAAUGCAUCAUCUCACCUAUACAAGAAUCCUCAUACCAACUUGCACCAUUUAUAUUAUAAAAAUCCAAGCCAACCAAUUCCAUUAUAAAAAAUCCAAACCACUCAAUUUCCAUUAUAGAAAAUCCAAACCAAUUUUUGUUGUUAUCUUUUAUUUAUAUUUUCUUUAUUUCAAGUACUUGGUGUUCUAAUAGAUUUGAUGAAAAACAACGAAAGACUAAAAAAGUAAAAUACUACCUAGAGUAUGUGGUAACAUGCAUAUCUCGAGCAACUGUUCACCUCAUAAUUUUCUUUUGAAUGGUUUUCUAAAUUUAGUUUAGUUAUCUUUGAUUAUUAAGAGGAUUGCAAUCUUUUGUAAGAAGGGAUAAUCACUUAUAUAAAGAUAAGUGGUGUAAAAAAAAAAAAAACAAAAAGAAAAGGGUCAUAAGUUGCAUAAUAGUUGUGUAAGUGUGCAACCUAGACUUGUUGGUCUGCAUGUAGGAAAAAAAAAACUACUUUAGGUUAUGUUUGAUAGGUGGGAAUGAAUAUUUCAUUUAUUUUCUCUUUCAUUCUCAUGUUUGGAUAACUUAUAUGAAUCUAGGAAUGGAAUAAAAAAUUAUUCCAAUAGAAAUGAAAUCUUACUUAUAGGUGAAAUUUCAAUUCAUCUCUCAUAAGUGGUAUUCUAAUUCAUUGAACAUAGGAAAUAAUAUAAAAUAAAUUUAAAUUAUUAUUUUAGCCCUUGAUUCUAUUAAUCAAGCUUGAUGCCUUUAUUUUCAAUCUCCAAAGCUAGAGUCUCUAUUCAUCGACCCUUUCCACAACACCAAGUGAUUCUGUCAAUCCUUUACCAAUCUAAUUUUUGUUUCCAAUUCAAUCAAACCUUCCACAACACAAGGUAUAGAAAAAAACUUUCAGGUUUCUACUUUCUAGGGUUUUGGAUGUUUAUUUUAUAUUGUUAGAUUUGUGAUUCAUCAUUGUUCUCUAAAACUAGGAUUCUGAUAACCUCCUAGUGCAUUUUCAAUUAGAUUUGCCUUCUCCUCUUAAUAUUUCUUCUUUUACUAUUUUCUCUAUUUUUUUUUCUUCCUUGUGAAUUGAAUCUUUUUUUAUUGAUUUGUGUUUGAAAUCGUGUUUUUUUUUUUUUUUUAAAUUUUUAUACUAAAUUUGAUGUUUUAAGAUUGCUCUUUGCUACUUUUAUAAGAGAAAUUUUGUUUUGUGACUUCUAACAAAAACUUAUGGAGUUACUUUUACUAAUUUUUUCCCUUUUAGUUACCAUUUUUUAUCAAUAAAAGGUUGAGAUUGUUUGAAUUCAUUUCAAAAUAUAUUAACAAUAAAUUGAGAUGAAUAUUUGGAGUUUAGAAUUGUGAUUUUCAAUAGAGCCUGAUUGAUGGUUGAUCACAACUAGGGUACUCAGAUAUUGAAUUUCACAAGAAAUGCUUUGUUGAUUGUGGAUAUUGGCAGUGCUGGUGGAAUUUGGGAGGAAUAUGCAUUUGCACCAUUGUGCUUAAUGCUAAGAAGUUUAAAAAGUGUGAUUGCUCAAAGUUUUGGCAGGUUUUUAGGUUUUUUGAAGUGAGAUCGUGGGGUGCAUUUGCCCAAAACGAUCUCAACAUUUAAUAUAAGGAACUAAAGCUCUUACUUGAAUCCUUUGUGUUCCAGCUAUUAGAUUAGAGUGGUCUAUUUGGUUGUUUCAAUUUGUCAUUUAUAGCUUUUGGAUUUCUAUGUUAUCAUUUUCGAGUUUUCAACCUCAAAGCAUAAUGCAAUUUAACGUGGAAGGUUCUAAUGUUUAAAUUAGUUUUUUGUGUUUAUCAUUUUCUUUCAUACCAUGAUUAAUAAAUGACCAUUAUUUUUUGUUGUCCAAAAUAUGAAACCUUUUUAUAUAGCAACUCUGUCUAAUAAAAACCAAAGAAAAAGAUUACGAAUUUUUUAAUACUUUGGGUAUCAUCCUCAAGGACUAGCCUUUUAAAGUUGUCAGACUAGGUAUAAAUGAUUUCUUUUUGCCUACUUUUUUGAAUUGACAAUGUGUAAAAGUGAUUUGAAUAAAUUGAAUUUACUAAAGCAAACCUAAUUAAAUUACAAAAACAUUAUUGAUUUCUAAUUCAAAUGAUUUAAGAUUGAAAGUUCUACAAUCUAACUUUAAGUAUAAGGCCUCAAGCAAAACAAAGGUAUCAACUUUAGAUAUUCUUAGGGUAUUUAAAAUGUGAAGUAAAAUAAGAUGAACCCGAGUUCCAUAAUUCAGGCUUGCAUCUGCAUCCUAACUUUUAAUAUUUGAUUCAAUGAUUGAAAUACCAAAUAGAUUAAUAGAUAUGAAAUUUGGGUUUAGGUAUAGGAUUUAGGCCUUCAUCACUCUAUAUAAAUUUGUCUUAGGGUAGAUAACUAUAGCAAAACCUCAGAUAAGUAGGGAUAAAAAAUUACCAAGAAUCCCUGGUAUCAAUGAAUGAACUAUUGUACCAUCCCCUAAUUCAAACUAACAUUAGAGGAUGUCUAUAUUUUUAUUUAUUAUGCCUUAGCCUUUCAUUUAUUUCAUUUUUAGUUCAAUUUUAUCCAUUGUUUUUCCCUUGGUUCUAACCUUAGGUUUUCAUGUUUCACAACCCAAGAUAGUUUUUUAGCUUCUCAUAGUGGUGAUUUAAUUCACACAAUCCAUAAAAGAAAAAUAAAGAAUAAUUCUUAAAUAAAAAAAAUAGAAACAAUUGAUUAAAUUAAUAAAAUAGAGAAAACAAACCAAGAAUCUUCAAUAUCGUCUUCUCUCCCAUGAAAAUCCAAGAACCCUUAAAAAAGAAAUUUAUUGUCCUAUUUAUAAGCCAAAAGUUAAGUUGACACAUAAUAAGAUCUUAGAGACCAUAUAAAAUCUUCUUCCUGAAUCAAGGUCUCUCAAUCAAAAUUGUAAAAUUUGAAUCAUGGGAGCCUUUAAUGAAGAGUUAUUAAUUUUGCAUGAGGAUGUUCCAUUUCACAUGGUCAUGGCAAAUUUAUUCCCAUUGUUAUGUCAACAUGCUCUCUGGUGCAUUCCACACGUUCAUGCGAAAAUUUGCAUGUUCAUGCAAAAGUGAUUUACAUAGGUUUUUGAGUUGUUGCAAAAGUUAGUUCUUUGGCUUAUUUCGCACGUUCAUGUGAAAAUUUGUAUGAUCACGUGAAAUUGACACUUCUUUGGUUUCUCUUUGUGUAAUUCUCUUCAAUCACCCAUAUUUUCCUUGUUUUAGCUUUGAUUUGCCCAUCGUUUGAAGCGUUGGACUCCUGACUUCUUGAGCCUCCAAAUGAUAUAUAACAUGCCUAAAAUGGCCUAAAAUAAUACUCCAUAUUUCACCUCAAAGUUAUAGUAUAUGUUGCUAGAUUUUGAGUUCCAAUUAGAAUGUUUGAAGUUCAAGCUAUAUCCUUUAACUUUCUUUCUUCUAUUUGCUUGCUCUCCAACUCUUUCUAGAACCUUCAUUUCUCAUCUCUCAUUCUAUGAAUUGCUCUAUUUUCAUUUUUCAAAACUUUUAUUAUGCUUCAUACUAUUGGAACUCGUUUUAAACAUAUCUAGUCUUUUUUUUUUACCAUGAUUGAAAUUGAUUUCUUCAACUUACAUCAUUUUCAUCCUUUAAACUUGAGAUUUAGUUCAAGAUAUAUGUUAGUUCCAUCGCUAGGGUUUUAGUAAUAAUUCAAGUUAAGUUAGGUGAGUUGAAUCUUUACAGUUGCAUAAUUCGUUCCUAUAUAUGCCAUUAGAGCACAAUUUGUGACUCUAAUAAAUAAACUUGAUGGCAAACUAAUUUGUUUGCAUUGAUAAACCUUACAAUCCAUUUGUUAUUACACAAACUUGAACAACCUAAAAUGUUCCAUUUAUGGUUUUUUGUACUAUUUUUUCUAUAGUCUCACUCUCUUUCUUCUUUCUCCUCAUUAGGCUUGUUAUUGUGGGCUUCUAAUUGUUGACUUUGUUAUGUCUACUCUUCAUAGGGCUUGUCCUCCCCCCCCCCUCUGCCCUUGCCCUGUAUGAGGGGUUAAGUAUUAGACUUGUUAUUGGAUAUCAUUACUAAUUUAUUUAUGUUACUAAGUCAAUCCGCUUUACGCUAUUGAUGUGGUUCUACUUUAUGAAAGUCAUUCAUUCAUGUCUUUUCUAUUAAAGUUGCUUUCAAAAGUGAAUAUUUGCAUAACCGUUAGUGUUUAAAUCACAUAAUAUUUUAACACAUGUUCUUGGAUUGUGUCUCCUUAUCCUCUUUAAUGAUAUUUUCUUGCUUAUUUAAAAAUAUAUAGGCAUGCUUAUUUCGAUAAUUAUUGGUGUUUUUUCAUGAAUUUGAUCUUCUAAAGUGAAUUUUUUAUCUAACCUCUAUGGCAUAUAUACGAUUCAAACCAUAAAAAAGUGGUGUAUGGAAUCAAAAUAUUGUAAUUUGUUUUUAUCUCCAUGAAUAUGGUUUUGGUGAUUUUUGUAAUUAACUACAUUAUGUGCAGUAGUGAUGCACAUCAAUUGAUAUAGAGAGUGAAUUAAAAUAUUUUCAUUUGUAUUUGAUUUUUAAAGAACCAUGGAUCCAUUCUAGCUAUCUCUUAGAGUUGAUGAUUUUAAUAUGUUGUUCCCCUUAGCCCUACCAAUGCCAAUUUUCAAUCAUGAAUUUUUGCUACUCUACUAAAAUUUGUUAUGUGCACCAAUUUCGAUUUGACACAAGGUUUCUUAGCAUUAAAUAAAAAAAUUUAUAGACAAUAUUUUAUUAUAACAUACAAUUAUAUUAUGUGGAACUGCUUUUAAUGGACUAUAUAGUGCAAUUUAGCUAUUUUUUUUUUUUAAUUUCCAUUUAGUUGUUGAUGUUCCUAGGUUUCUCCCUUGCUUAGAUUAUUCUAUCAUGUUGUUGGGUUGCUACAACUCAUUAUGUAUUAUUGAUGUUACAUUUUUUACUUUAGUUUUUGUCGUAUUCAUGAAGAUAAGAGGCUUUCUCAAUAUUAAGGUGGUUGAUCACUCAACAAAAUUAACUUUAUUUCAAAAAAAUUUCUGAGUUGUACCAAAUUCUUUUAGAUUAUAUUAUAUAAUUCAACAAUGUAACAAGACCAUGGAGAGAGGAUUAUUAUUAAUGGAUGUCUGCUCUAAUUAUUUCUACACAUGAAUGCAUUUGUGAAUACUUAGAAUUUGGAUAGUUGGAUAUUUUGUUGCACAUGAGAAAAAAUUAACAAUUUUGCGCAUGAAUAACAAAACAUUAGUACUUGUAGUUACAGGAUGACUAUAUAUAAGGAUAAUAUUUUUAUAUGAUAUUUUAGUGUAGACAUAUUGUGUAGUGUUUGGAUUGAGGAACAUAUUUUUUUUGGAUUUUCAAUUGUUGAUGGGUGUUUUUUUUUUCUAAAUGGUAAUUGAUUGAGAUUAAACUAGAGAUUAUAAGUAGUGUACAAUUUGUAAUUUACUGGAAAGUUGAUCACUAGGAAGACUUAACAACAACUAUUUUUAUGAUGCGUAAGACAUUUCUUUAGGUUAAUAACUUUUAUGUUAAUAAAAAUUCAAAUAUCAUUUUUGUUAUUUCUUUCAUCUACUUCAUUGUUUUGUGUAUAUUUUAUGAGGGCAUAAAUAUUCUAAUGAUUUGAGACUCAAACCAUUUUCACACUUGAUGAUCUAAGUCUUGUUUUUGGUAAAGAUUGUGUCAAUGGAAGUUUGGUUGAUACUUUGUAUUUCAACUAUUUUGAUAUGUUUAAACAAAUUACUAAGAAUUUAAUGGGAAUUUGUUUUACUUAUAUAUUCUUUGAACAAAUCUAUUUAUACAUAAUUUAAUUUAGGUUGCAAUGUUUUAUGUAAAUAAUUUAUUAAUUGGGUAUGAGAAUUAUUUUUAUGAAUGGUUGAGUAGAUUCAAGUUUAUAUAUUAAUCUAUUGGGAAUGAAAAUUAUUUAUUAAGAGAUGAUUUGGUAGCUAUGUGAUGGAAUUAACUUGUUAAACAAGAUAAAAUAAUAAUAUAUUACUUUAACUUAAAUUAUUUUCUUGAGGGUAGCAAUGUUGAAAAAAAAAACUAAUAAAGACUUACCUUGACGAGAAAAUAUUAAUUAACAUAAUUUUAUAUUGACUUAUAAAAUUGGGUCAACAUAAAAAUAUAUUAAUGGAACAAGAAGACCUAUGCAGAUAAUGAAACAUCAACAUUAGCCUAUAUUGAUAACUUUGGAAUAUCAACAUAUGUCUAUGGUUAUAGCAAGAUGCUAUCAACAUAUCUUAUACCUAUGUUGACACUUCGAACACUGAUGCUAAUCCUCAUCGUUAACAUAAGUCAAUGUUGAUGGUGAAAUGCUAUCAACAGAGCCAUUCUUCCUUAUAGUGGGUUCACUAGUAAUACAACCUGUCCAUGGCCCAAUCGACUAUCAAUUCCUUUAAACCCAUUAUUUUUCCCUCAAACCUAUAAAGAUACCCAUAAAAAAGCAUCAUCUCAUUUAGAUAAGACUCUAUUGACAAGCUUGCACCAUUUUUAUUAUAGAAAUCCAAAUCAACCAAUUCUAUUAUAAAAAACCCAAACUAAUCACCAUUGUUUUCUAUUUUCCUUUUGUUUUUAUUUUAUUUUUAUUUUUAAUACUUGGUAUUCGUAAAGGGUUGAUGAAAGGAAAGAAAAGACUAAAGAGGGGUAAAAUGUUACUCAAAGUAGGUGAUGAUGUGCUUAUUCUAAGUAGUUGGUCAUUGCAUAACUUUCUUUUGAAUGGUAUUGUAAAUUUAGUUUAGUUGUCUUGGUUAUUUAGAGGACUACAAUCUUUUAUAUGAAGGAAUAACUUUUUAUGCAAAGGCAAGGGUUGUAAAACAAAAAAAAAAAAAAAAAACAAAAAAAAAAAAAUGGAGGGGUGAAAAGGUACACAAUAGGUGUAUAAGUGUGUGGCCUAGACCUGUAGGCUUGCAAGAAGGAAAAAAACUACUUUACAUGAAGGGAUAACACUAAUACAAUUAAAAAAAGUAGUGUAAAAUUAAAAAAGAAAACAAAAUAAAAGGGUCAAACUAUGAACAUUAGGUGUGCAAGUGUGCAACCUAGACUAUUAGGUCUGUAAGAAAAAAGAGAGAGGAAAUAAUCGUCUAGCUCUUGAGAUUGAUAGUACCAGAGGUUUAUUGGUAAUAUGACUGGUUUAAGAUCUAAUCGACCCCUAGCUUCCAUUUAACACAUUGUUUUUCUCUUGAACCAAUAAAGAAAUUCAUAAAAAAGAAUUAUCUCACUUAGAUAAGACUCUUUUGACCAACUUGCACCAUUUCCAUUAUAGAAAUCCAAAUCGGCCAAUUCUAUUAGAGAAAACCCAAACCAACCAAUGAUCAUGGUUUUUUUUUUAUCUUCUUUUUGUUUUUAUUUCUCUUAUUUCAAAAUAUUGGUAUUUUGACAGGCUUGAUUAAAGGAAAAGAAAGAAAUACUACUUAGAGUAGGUUACGAUGUGCUUAUCUCCAACAGUUGGUCACCAUAAAAAUUUAUUUUGAAUGUUGUUGUAAAUUUAUUUAUUUACCUUUGGUUAUUCAAAGGACUUAAAAUUUUUUUUUUAUAAGGAGGGAUAACCACUUAUAUAAAAAGGCAAGUGUAAAAAAAAUAGAAGUAAAAUGAAGGGUCAAAAGGUACAUAGUAGGUGUAUAAGUAUACAACCUAGACCUUUAGACCUAUAGGGAAGAGAAAAAAAAUUACGUUACAUGAAAGGAUAACACCGAUACAAAGAUAAAUAGUGUAAAAAUAAAAAUGGAAAGCGAAAUGGAUGGGUCAGAAGGUGAACAUUAGGUGUGUAAGUGUACAACUUAAACUAUUAAGCCCACAAGAGAAAAAAUAAAUAAAUAAAUAAAUAAAUAAUAAAAAGAGGAAAUAACCAUUUGAGUGUUGAGAUCGAUGGUUCAAGAGGUUCAUUGGUAAUACAAUCGGUCCAUGUCCUAUUGACAGUCGGUUUCCAUUAAACACAUUGUUUUUCCUCAAACCUAUAAAGAAGCUCAUAAAAAAUGCAUAAUCUCACAUGGACAAAACUCUUAAGAAUACAAUGUUACUCUUUCUUUACAAUGUGAUAUUAUGUUAUAAUAAUUAUAUAUAUAACUUUAUUAUAUAUUUUCACUAUACUUUUUAUUUUAAAAUGCUUUAAUAAAAUGUUUUAAUAUGUUUAUGAUAUUUCAUAUAUAUAUAUAUAUAUAUAUAUAUAUAUAUAUAUAUAUAUAUAUAUAUAUAUAUUUAUUUAUUUAUUUAUUUAUUGAGGUUCCUUUUAUAUAUAUUUAUGGGUUCUACAAUGUCUUGUUUAUGGUUUUAUUUUCUUACUCAUUUUCAACUUUUUGAAAAUGCUUUUCACUUUUCUAAGAAAUUCAUAUAAUAAGAAAGGCCUUAUGUAAAUUAAUUGGCGAUCAUGUUGUAUAUAUAUACACUUUUACUUAUAUGCAGCGCACCCCUCAAAUACUAGCCUCAGUUCCCACCCACGUUUGAUUAUGAGUAGAAAGGGGCCAAUUAAUCCUCCUACAAGAGGGAAGAAAAGAAAAGACGAUGAAGAUAUGGUUCACUAGAAGCAUUAUCAGUUGAUGAUGGAGUAGUUCCCCAAUUGGGAAUAAAUCAUCAGCAAAGAAGAAACACAACAUACUUUCUCAUGGAGACUAACCUAAGUCAGCUCUAUUAUUAAUUAAGCAAACUCCUAAUACACAUAGUACUUCUGGAUUAUAUAUCCAACACUCGAAACCACAAACUCCAAAUCAACCCAUACGUAUGUCACAUGCGCCAAGCUAUAUAUAUUAUUCUUCAACCCCAAGAAACCACAAACUCCAAAUCAACCUCCUUCAUUACACACUAAGCAUUAUAUAGAAUGCCCGUUGAGCUUCUUCUCAGUUUCAAGGGCCUGGUGGGUUGCGUGGGCUGUGUGGACUUCCCUUUUUUUCACACCCCUUUCUUCGGGUCGGAUCGCACUUGCUUUUAGACGGUGGAUCAGGUAAAUUUCCUGUUAUAACGCCCAUCUUGUCGCUACUCAUUUCUUCUGCAACAUCCAUGUCAAAUAUCAUCAUAUAUCACAAAGAGGCAAAAACGUACAGCAGCUCAUGCAUGACUGUAUUAAAUUGGAAAAUUAUGUACUAGCCUCCAACCAUAUCUAUUUGAAGUAUCAUUAAGAGAAACUUAUCGUAUGUAUAGUUAAUUACUUAGUUAUACGAAUAUUAAAUGCAUGUAGAAAAAGAAAUUACCAUUUUGAAUCAGCUCUCGAGCACUAACGCAAGAGGGAAAGAGAAGGACUGAAACCAAGAGAAAGCAUACAAGGAAAGCCUUCAUGGUGGUGGGAGAUUGGAGUAGACUAUGCUAAACUUUCUCCCCCACUGCCCUUAUUUAUAAUGGCAUUCAUAUGCGUGGAUUGGGAAAAAGAUAUGGUCAUUUUAAUUAAUUGGAAAGUAUGUAGGGCUGGGUGUCCCACCAAAAAAGGGGAGCAAGGUUGACAGACUUUUUAAACUUGUACGACUAUUUUAAAAAAUAAUUCUUAAAAAAUGGUAGUUUGAAUUUUCUUUUUUUUUUAAAAUACAAUCAUUAUAAAACAAUUGAUAAAUACUUUUUACCAUUUUGAAAAAUGUUUUUUUGAAAAGAUACCUUCCAUGUUUUUCAUAUCAACCAUACAUGUUAAUUUUUUUUUUAAUUUACAUUAAAAGUGUCUCUUCUAUGAUUCCAUAAAAUUGAAUUUAUAUUAAAAGUAUUUCUUCAAAAGACAUUUUUCCAUAAAUUUUUUAUUAGUCAUACACGUUAAAAUAAAUUGAAUUUAUACUAAAGAAAUAUUCUUUCCACAAAACCCAUAAAUUCAAAUUUAUAGUAAAUGUGUUUCUUGAAUAGACAUUUUCUACAAUUUUCAUAUUAGUCAUAUAGUGAAAAAAAAAAAAUUUACAUUGAAAGCGUCUGUACAAUUCUACAAAAUUGAAUUUAUACUAAAUGUGUUUUUUGAAUAAACAUUUUUCAUAAUUUUUAUAUUAGUCACUUAUCGAAAAAAUUAAAUUUAUACUAAAAGUGUCUCAUGAAGGAAAACCUUUUAAUAUAAAUUUAAUUUUAUGAAAUUGUGGAAGAUAUAUUUUGAAAAAACACUUUUAGUAUAAAUUCAAUUAUUUCAAUAGAUGAUUGAUACAAGAAUUGUUGAAGACGUCUCUUCAUCUUUAAUAUAAAUUUAAUUUUAUGAAAUUAUAAAAAGUGUCUUUUAAGGAGAUAUCUUUAUAGUGCGUUUGGUAACGAUUCUAAAAAGUGUUUCUAGUUUUUAUCACACUUGAAAUUUUUCAUCUUUUAAGUAAUAAAAAAAAGUUAGAAACACUUCCUAAAAUCAUUAUUAAACACACUUUUACUAUAAAUUCAAUUUUUUUCACUAUGUAAUUGAUAUAAAAAUUGUGAAAAAUAUUUAUUUAAAAUAUAUUUUUAAAAUAAAUUUGAUUUUGUAGAAUUAUAAAAAGUUUCUCUUGAAAAGACACUUUUAAUAUAAAUUUAAUUUUUUUGAAUGUACAUUAUUGAUAUAAAAAUAAUACAAUAUGUCUUUUCAAGUGAUACAUUUCAAAGUAACAAAAAAUUUGGUAGAUUUGAAAAUAUUUUUUAAUAUAAUGUAUUUUAAAAUUUUCACUGUAUAAUUAUAAAAAAUCCCAAGGAUGACUCAGUAUCUCAAUUAUCACAACACUCCAAAUAAUUCCUAAUCCUAAUAAAAUAAAGUAAAAUAAAACGACACCCUUUUUCUUAAAGUAAAACAGAAGGCAUCUUACUUUGGAAAACCAAACCCCUUCCUCUCCAGAGGUCGUCACCUGCUGAUGUUGGCUCAUGACGUCUGCUCAAACAUUUGGCUGACUCGUAUCCUAAUUUCUAUAUUACCUUUAUUAUAAUUUCAUUAUUUAUAUUGUAUGUACAUGAAUCUAACAAACUUCGCAUUCUUUAUAUAAUGCCACAAAAAAGAAAGCUAGAUGCCCUCGAUUACUCCUAGAGUGGUCAUGAGCCCCACUGAAAAGCAAAGGGAUUAGAAUAAAUAAUCUUUCACACAUAUAAGCUAAGACUUGCAAAAGUUGCAAUGAGAGAGAGAGCUGAUAAGGAAAGCAUCAGACUCCAAUCCCAUAUUCACCAUGUUUCACGUGACUCACCUCCUGUUCAUAUUUUACUUCAUCCAAAGAUUUUGAGUGCGUUUUUUAAUUAAAGUAUUUUUUUUUGAAAAUAUUUUUUUUAAAAAUAAUUAUUUAUCAAAUAUUUCUUCAAAAAACAUUGUAAAUAAUUUUUUAACAUUAUAUGUGAUUUUAAAAUUUUUUAAAAAUUUUAUCAAAUGAACUUUUUUUUUAAAAAAAAACACUAAAAGUGUUUUUGAAAAACUAUGUAAAAACGGAAUCUUAAAUCAUGACCAAGUUGUGGCCAGCCGAGAGGGUGCUGUUGAAGGGAGGGAAGGAAAGAAAAUUACAUUUUGUGUGGGGAAAGAAGAGUGAAAUUAAAGUAUUGUGAAGUUAGGUAAGUUGAGAAAUUUGCAUUGAAAUAUCUUGUUUGCUUACAUUGACUUUACCAAACAGGCUUUAGUUCACCAGAGGGAUUUCAAGCUUUUCUUUUGCUGUUAAUGUCAAUUAUUAUGAUAAUAACAAAAUUUAAAUAUCAUAUAAACAUUGUGACUAUUUUUCAUUAAAGAUUACAUGUAUGAGAACUCAACAAUAAUGCUAGGGAUUUUCAUGAGAGCUUAAGGAUUGCAAGCUAUAUUCUACCCUAACCUACCAUAUGUUUCUAUUGUGAAACAUAAUCAUUUCAUCAUAAAUCAAGUGAUAUUAUAUUGUAGGUCAUAAACAUGGUUAUAUUGAAGGUCAUAUUCUAUUAGCAACUGCAACACUUGGGAUAACAGCCAUGUGUUUGUCAAAAGGAGGAACUACCCAUUCUUGACUUAAGGUCUUAAUAAAGCUAAAUGCUUCAUUCAUUUCUUAAAUUAAUAAACAGUCAAACUUAGUUUGAUCUAAUAAGAUAUACACCCAUCGCUAUUUUUUGAGAUGAAGUCACGAUAGUACAUCGACAUGCUUUUAAAACCCUUGAUCAAACUUUAAAAGACUUAAAUUGCGUUUGAUAGUGAUUCUAAGAAACAUUUUUAAUCUAUCUCACACUUAAAUGAUUAAAAAAUUUAGGUAUUAAAAAAUUUAAAAAUACUUAUUAAAUUCACCGUCAAACGGACUCUUUAUAGGUAUUGAUGAAUUAUUUAGUGAAAAGGUAAUGAUAUUAGAAGGAGAUUUUUGCUAAAUCCUUCAUGUUGUGAAAAAAGGUAUAAAGUCUAAACUAAUUGAUGCAUGUGUGGUUAAAUCACCAUUGUCAACAAAUUAAUGUUCAAGUUCUAAGAUUGAAAAGAAAUAGGAGAUCCAUAAAUAAUUAACCAUUCAUGGAUCUUCUGUUUUGAGUUGGUAUUGGAUCUCAACCUACAUAAAGGGAUGACACGAUAAAGAUACCAUCACCAAUGAACAUAACACAUCAAAAUGAGUUAUUCAUUAACAAAUUAUUAGAGAGGUGUUUCCACAAAUAGACCAUCAUAUAAGUGAUGAAAAGGCUUUAAUAACUCCUCCACAUGAAGAUAUCCAUCGAUUGGCUUAAUAAAAGCAUCAUACAUAUGUUCCUUGGUGAAGAAUUGUACAAGUUUUACACAUCAUUUGACUCGUUUAAGGAUGAGACAAGGAAUUUGUAUCAACAAGAAUUUCUUGAUUCAAUCUCACUUAGAGGGUUACCACCACAGAUUGAUACUGAAAGAAAGGAUCAUCCGUUAUGCUGAUAUAGAAUAUUGACUCUAAGAUCGAAUCAUGUAAUGGUGGUACAAGAUUGUUUUGCUAUGAUUAUUAAAACAAUUUGAUUGAUUGUGAAAUUUUGAUUGUUCAAUUCGCUGGAAGUAGAGUUUUCUUACCAGAAAUUCCUAUGAAGACUUCAAAAAACAUGGAAGUACUUCUAUUUCAAGAUUACUAAUAUGUCCAUUUACUAUUAGUUAUCUCAUUCUUGAAUCUAUUAUGUGCAUGUUUAACAUACAAGACAACUCAAUUUUAGGGAAAUCUGAAAAGAUGAAACAAUGUGUUCAUGAUGAAGAACAUUCGGAGUCCAUGUGACAUGUGCAAUGCAAAAGGUGAAGAAAAGGUAAGUUGAUUUUUUUCAUACUUACUUGAACAUAUUAGCCAUGUUUGUUCACAUACUAGAUCUAUUGAGAAUUUUACUUAAAUUUUAUUUUGAUUCUUGUACUCUUAGCCCAACAAUGAAAAUCAAGAUCUAUGGUAAAUAUGAAAUGUUGAAAAUGAUGCUAGAAUGAUGGAGUAGAAGAAUCAAAAUAAAACAAAGAGAAAAGAACAAAAGAAGAAACACCACAUACGCACCCAUGGAGACUGACCUAAAUCAGCUCUAUUAUUAACUAAGCAAACUCCUAAUGCACAUAGUCCAACACUCGAAACCACAAACUCCAAAUCAACCCAUACAUAUCUCAGUACAUGCGCCAAGUAAUAUUAUUCUUCAACCCCUGGCGACUCCUCUUCAUACCAUCUAUCCAUCUAUCUACAUAUGUUUGUUGUUGGUCCAUAGCGGCCAGCUCCUUGAUACUAAGCAUUAUCUUCUCAUUUUCAAGGGCCUGGUGGCGCACAUCUUUUAUAUUUCCCAGAACACUUCUUUGGCUUGGAUUUGCAAUUUCGACGAUAAAUUCCACAGCUCUCGCGGGCUGUAAUGCCCACCUUAUGAUCAGUACUCAUUAUUUCUGCAAGACCCAUGUAAGAUAUCAUCAACACAAACAAGACCGAGACAACAUUUAUACUAACAGCAAAAAAAAAAAGACAAAAAACUUCCUUUAUAUUAGAAAAGAUGGAAGUGAAAGGAUUUUUCUUAUCCAAUUUUUAUUUCCCUAUAUAACUUAUAUAUGACAAAGAGGAAAAACAGCAGCUCAUGCAUUUGAAGUUUUUACAUGCAACGUACCCUAUAUACAUACAUACUAAUAUUUUCCAAAACAAAGAAAAACACUUCCAAUUUUUAUCUCUCUCUCGUUUUCAAACUAUGAAAAACCUUAAUUAUGUUAGCAGGACAUUUUAUUCAAGGCAGUGUAAGUAACGAUCAUAUGUACAGCUAACUAGUUACAUGAAUAUAAAAUGGAUGUAGAAAAAGAAAUUACCAUUUUGAACCAACUCUCGAGCACUAACGCAAGAGGCAAAGAGAAGGACUGAAAUGAAGAGAAAGCAUACAAGGAAAGCCUUCAUGGUGAUGGGAGAUUGGAGUAGGGUCUGAUAAACUUUCUCCCCCACUACCCUUAUUUAUAAUGGCAUUCAUAUGUGUGGAUCGGGAAAAAGAGAUGGUCCCUUCAAUUAAUGGGAAAGUGUGAAGGGUAAAGUGUCCCGCAAAAAAGGGGAAGCAAGGAUGAGUCCCCACUACCUCAAUUAUCACAAAACAUAUGGUACCUCUCAUCCACAUCUUUUGAUCCGAAACCAACUUUUCUCAUGCACAUGGGUUCACUGCUAUCACAUGUACCCAACUUUCUCACUCCACUCAAUUAUUGUACUCCACGAUAGAAUUUUCUCUCAUUAUCAUGGUAAUAUUCAUGAAUAAUUGACACUGGCUGCUGCCAGAAUUCUCUGGAGGAAAAGAAUACAAGUAAUUUUUCAAUUUUUUUUUUAAAACUUUUUGAUUUUCAUUUUCAAAAAUGGUUUUUAUAUUAAAAAUAUUGGUGAAAUGAAAGUGCGUUUAAUCAAUUUUUUUUUAAAGUAUUUUUAAUUUAAAUGUUAAAGAGCCACUAGUGAUUUUAUAAAGCGUUUUUAGUCUUUUUAAUAUUUGAAAGAUAAAAUUUUUUUAAAUGUUAGAAAGACUAAAAACAUUUUCUAUAAUCCCUACCAAAUGAACUCUUAAAUGUUUUUGAAAAAAUCAUUUAUCAAAUGUUGCUAUAAAAAACACUAUUAAUAAUUUUUCAACUAUUUAAAAGUAUUUUCUAAAUUUAAAAUACCUAAUUUUUCUUCAAAAAUACUUUUUGAUACAGAAUUUUUUUUCAAAACACUAUUAAAUAUGAUUUUUCAAUUAUUUAAAAAUGUUUUCUAAAUUUUAAAUACCUAAAUUUUCUUCAAAAAUACUUUUUGAUCUAGAACUAUUUUUAAAAUUAAAACGAUCUAGUUAAAAUAUUAGAACUGCCAUAAGGCUAAUUAUUGGAGCGGCAGAUAAACACAUUACUUUUGCGGAUCAAAAGGAGCUGGAUGGCAUGAAGUUUUGUUGUUGGAUUAAUAUUAGAACUGCCUCCAAUUCUAAUGUGUUUCUAUUAUAUAUAUGGUCAUGAAAAUAUAUGAAAAGGCAUAACAUAUUAUUUGAUUAAAAUAUAUGAAAUAAUCUAAAUUUGUAAAUCUCACUCUCCUUUGUUUAAACUUGAAAAGUAAUUUGUUUUUGUUAUAAAUGUCCUUCAAUGUUUUGAUUAUUUAUUUGUAAUUUUUAAAAAAGAAGGUUAUUUUUUUGUGGUUUAACUUAGGUGUCAACCCAAUGUUUGAAUGGAGUUGAACAAUUAUUUAAAAUACUCAGAUUGGGUUUGAAUUAGGUUUUUUCCAACUCAAGUUCUAUUUAUGGGUUGGACUCAUAUUAAUGUUCUAACAAUCCAAACCUAAUUCAAAUAUAUGUUUUUAUAAUAUUUAUUAUGUAUAUUAACCUAUAUAAUAAUAUUCAUUUUUUUUUAAUUUUGAAGAAAAAUAUCAAAUUAUUUUAUAUUGUAUACUUUUUUUUAGAAAGAUAUAUAAAUUUAUUUUUACCUUUUUUUUUGUUAUUAUCUUGAAAAUUUGUUCUAUUUAUUUUAAAAAAAAUUAAUAUAAAUAUAUUUAAGAAACAUUAUAGAUAGAUUUUAAAUUAUGCAACUCAGUCAACCAACCAACCCAAACUUGGAGAAAUGAUAUUAGGUAAAGUUUAGGUUGAGUAUUUCAUGUUAGAGGUUAAAUUGAACUUCGAUUUACCGUUUCUUAAUUUAAGUUGCGAUUGGAUUAGUCAUCAAUUCAUCCAAGUUGCAACAUCAUUGUUUUUAAAAGAAAAAUAUUACGAUGUUUUUUUUAAUUAAAAAUUUGUAUUUUUUAGGCUAAAAGAAUAUGAAAGGUUAGAUUUACAAAUUGAGGAUUAUUUCAAAGUCAAAUAACCCUAUAUAUAUAUUAAAAAUAACAUUGUAUAUUAAUUAAUAAGAGAUUAUGGUAAUAAUAUUUGUUUUCAUUAUUUAUCUUUUUAACUUGGAAUAGAAUAGUGAUGAUAAAUCAUCUUCGAACUUUUUCCCAUUACUCAUCUCUACUAAUUGAAUAGAUAAUUUUUUUUUAAAAAAUAAAAUAAAAUUGAAUCUAUAUAAGUUAUAUAACUUCCUUUAUAUUAGAUAAGAUAGAAAUGAAAGGAAUUUUCUUUUACAAUUUUUAUUCCCCUAUAUAACUUACAUAUAUGACAAAGGGGAAAAACAACAGCUCAUGCAUGAUUGUGUAUUUGAAGUUUUUACAUGUAACGUACCCUAUAUACAUACAUACUAAUAUUUUUUCAAAAACAAGAAAAACACUUCCAAUUUUUAUCUUUCUGUCCUUUUCAAACUAGGAAAAACCUUGAUUAUGUUAGCAGGACAUUCUAUUCAAGGCAAUGUAAGUAACGAUCAUAUGUACAGCUAACGAGUUACAUGAAUAUAAAAUGGAUGUAGAAAAAGAAAUUACCAUUUUGAACCAACUCUCGAGCACUAACGCAAGAGGCAAAGAGAAGGACUGAAAUGAAGAGAAAGCAUACAAGGAAAGCCCUCAUGGUGAUGGGAGAUUGGAGUAGGGUGUGAUAAGCUUUCUCCCCCGCUACCCUUAUUUAUAAGGGAGAAUUACCCUUAAGGGUAGGGUAAAAUUAUGAUAAUUCCUCCAAAUGCCUUAUUUUGUUUAAAUGUCAAUACUACCCUUAAUAAGUGAAAAGCAACAGCAAAGUGAAAAGCAACAGAAAAUAAAAAAGAGUCUUCUUUAACCUACCUGGAACUUGUCGGUGUUGUAGAAGAAAAAAGGGAAAGGAAAAAGGUUCAGCACUUCAGGUCAUUAUCUGCAACCGUUUACACAAAACUUGUUUUUUUUUUUUUGUGAAACUAGUAAGAAAUCCAUUAAAGGUCAGUUUUUUUUUUAAAUACAAAAAAAAAAAGUCAGUUUAUGGAAAAAUAAAUAAAUAAUUUUAAAAUCAGAUUGAAUGAAGGAAAAGUUAAUAAUUUUAACAAUGUAGAUGUAAGAUAUUAGAUCUGAAAUAUUGAAGGAGGUUUUGAGAAAGAAAUUACAUUUUUUGUAUAAAAUGUUAUUUAAAUUUAUUAUUUUGAAUUUUUUUUAUAUUAUUUUGGUCAUAGAAGAUGUGUUUUUAUUUUUAAUUUAUUUUCCUAGUUGUUUGAUAUGAUUAUUAUUGAUUUCCAUUGAAAAUGUUUGCACUUUAAUUUUGUUGUUGAGACUUGUUUGACAUGGCAGAAGAAAAAAUUUUCUCAGUUGUUUCUUGGUUGUUUGGAACCACUUUAUUUGGGUAUUUAUGAACAUGUUUGAAUUUUUGUUGAAAACUCAAAAUAGUAAUCAAUUGAGACAUAUUUUGUAUAAUAAAGAACAAUAUUUGUUAUAUAUUAGACAUAUAUAUGCCAAAAAAACCCACAACUGCCCAGUUUCAUAAGAAAUUUGAAAUUUUAAAAAUUUUAUCUUAUCGUAAUGUAUCGUAAUGUUACUGUAUUUAUAUUGUAAUUGUAGUGUAUUUUUAUUGUACAUUUAUAUUUUUAUAUAAAAAAACCCACGAUUGCCCAGUUUCAUACAAAAUUUGAAAUUUUGAAAAUUUUACGUUAUCAUAAUGUAUUGUAAUGUUAUUGUAUUUAUAUUGUAAUUGUAGUGUAUUUUUAUUGUACAUUUAUAUUUUUAUAUAAAAAAUUAAUUUUAUAGAUUUUUUUAUACAUUUGGAUUACCAUCAACAACUUUAUGUAUUGAAAUUACAAUAAUAUAUUUUUGUUGUCUUUUUAUAAUUUUGGCUUGUAAUGAUGCUUUAUGAUAGGAAUACAAAAUGAUAACCUAGAAACGUUAAUUCAGUAAAAAGCAAAUUCCAUAUUUUGUCAUUUUGGCAUAUUAUAAUAUAUCGUAAUAUUAAUAUAUUUUUAUUAUAACUAUAUUGCAUUUGUAUUGUACUUAUAUUUUAUAAUUGUCAGGAAAGAUGUACUUUUCAAUUGGUAAAUGAAUUUGAGAAAUUCAAGGUAAAUUGGUUUAAUAAAAAUAUGAGGUCUUCAUAAGAAUUAUCAAAUCUAUCCAUCCUUUUUAGUAAUUUUUUUUCCCAACUUACCCUUAAGGGUAUAAUGGCAUUCAUAUGUGUGAAGGGCAAAGUGUCCCACAAAAAAGGGGAAGCAAGGAUGAGUCCCCGCUACCCCACUAUCUCAAUUAUCACAAAACAUAUGGUACCGGCCUCUCCUGCAUAUCUUCUGAUCCGGAACCAACUUUUCUCAUUCACAUGGGUUCACCGCCCAACUUUCUCACUCCACUCAAUUAUUGCACUCCACGAUAGAAUUUUCUCUCAUUAUCAUGAUAAUAUUCAUGGAUUGCGACUGGCUGCUGCCAGAAUUCUAUGGAGGAAAAGAAUACAAGUAAUUUCUUAAUUUUUUUAAAGUUUCUGAUUUCCAUUUUCAGAAAUGGUUUUUAUAUUAAAAAUAUUGGUGAAUUGAAAUUACGUAUAUCAAUUUUUCUUUUUAAAGUGUUUAAAAGUUUAUUUUACAAUGAUUUUAAGAAACGUUUUUAUCUCUUUUAACACUUAAAAGAUAAUUUCGUUUUAAGUGUUAGAAAUACUAAAAACGUUUUCUAUCAUUACUAUCAAAUGUACUCUUUGUUUUUAAAAAAAUUAUUUAUCAACUAUUGCUAUAAAAAACACUAUUAAUGAUUUUUUUAAUUAUUUAAAAGUGUUUUUUAAAUUUCAAAUACCUAAUUUUUCUUCAAAAAUAUUUUUUGAUAUAGAACUAUUUUUCAAGACACUACUAAUGAUUUUUUAAUUAUCUAAAAGUGUUUUCUAAAUUUUAAAUACCUAUUUUUUUGAAAAAAAUAAAAUAAUUUUUGAUGUAGAACUGUUUUUAAAAAACCAUCUAGUUAAAAGCAUAAAUAGGACACUGCCAUACUGCUAAUUAUUAGAGCGGCAGAUAAACACAUUACUUUUGCGGACCAAAAGGAGCUGGAUGACAUCUAUAAAGUUUUGUUGUUGGAUUAAUAUUAGAACGGCCUCCAAUUCUAAUGUGUUCAUAUCUAUAUAUUGUUAUUCUUGAAUUAUCACAAAUGUAUGGUCAAAUAAUUAUGUAUAAUAAAUAAACGAAAAAGUAAGUAAAUAUUGAAUCUUACAAACGGUUGAUCGAGGCUAGAGUUUGACUCUAUGUCCUUAAGACGAAUUUGCCCUGUACUGGUGCUUAUGAUUUGUUGACAAUCAUUUCCGAGGAUACAAUGAUCACUUUCUUGUGAUACUAGCACUUCAAAUCACAAGAAACAACGAAUUACUUGAUGACUUGAAUUCUCUUGAAUACCAAGCACUUGGAAGAAAGGAGAAGAAGUGGAGAGAAUUGAUGAUGGAAUGAAUGAAAAAUGCCAUGGGGGGCCUAUUUAUAGGUUUUCUGGUGACUCUUAAAAGAGAUGUGUCUUAAAUACUUGAUAUAUCCUUUGACACAAGUUGUGUCUAUUAGGAAGAGUUGAGUCUAAUUGAAAUGGUAUGUCUUAAUUUUCAUUCACCUAUAAAUAUCCCAACAUAUAUUAUGGUCAUCGUCAUGUAUCUGCAUUUUCGUAAAUAAAUAAAUGAAAAGGUUUAACAUAUUAUUUUAUUAAAAUACAUAAAAUAAUCUAAAUGUGUAAAUUUCACUCUCCUCGUGUUUAAACUUGAAAGUAAUCUGUUUUGUUAUAAAUGUCCUUUAAUAUUUUGAUUAUUUAUUUGUAAGUUUUAAAAAAGAAGAUUAUUUUUUAGUGGUCUAACUUAGGUGCUAACUCGAUGUUUGAAUGGUCUUGAACAAUCAUUUGCAAUACUUGGAUUGAGUUUGGAUUAGGUUUUUUCCAAACCAAGUUCAAUUUAUGAGCUGACUCGGAUUGAGGUUCAAACAAUCCAAGCCUAAUUCAAAUCUAUGUUUUUAUAAUAUUUAUUAUGUAUACUAUCCUAUAUAAUAAUAUUUAUUUUCUUUUUAAAUUUUUAAGAAAAAAAAAAAUCAAAUUAUGUUAUAUUGUAUAUAUUUUUUAUUAUUUUUUAGAAAGAUAUAUAAACUUAUUUUUACUUUUUUUUUUUGUUAUUAUCUUGCAAUUUUGUUCUAUUUAUUAUUUAAAUUUUAAUAUAAAUAUAAUUUUUUUUUAAAGAAAUAUUAUAGAUAUAUUUUAAAUUAUAUAACUUAGUCAACCCAACCAACCUGAACUUGGAGAAAUGAUAUUAGGUUAAGUUUGGGUUGAGUAUUCAUGUCAUAGGUUAAGUUGAACUUGGAUUUGUUAUUUCUUAAUUUGAGUUGGGAUUGGAUUAGUCAUCAACUCACUCAAGUUGCAACCUUAUUGUUCUUAAAAGAAAAAAGCAAAGAUAGUUUUUUUUUAAUAAAAAAUUUGUAUUUUUUUAAGCUAAAAGAAUGUGGAAGGUUAGAUUUACAAAUUGAGGAUUAUUUUCAAAUAACCCUAUAUAUAUAACCUUGUAUAUUAAUAAGAGAUUAUGACAAUAAUAUUUGUUUGCAUUAUUUAUCUUUUUAAUGUGGAAUAAAUUAGUGAUGAUAAAUCAUCUUCGAACCUUUUCUCUUUGCUCAUCUCUACUUAUUGAAUUUAUUUAAGUUAAUUAAUAAUUCAAUUAUUUCUAGUUAAGAAACUAAUAUAUAAAAAAACACACAUUGAAAACACCAUGGGACGUCGACUUUAUAAACGGGUAUGUUUAAUACUUUGUAGUUAUAUCAUGAUUGACAUUUUAUUUGAACAUUUAUUUCUCAACUCCAUUUCAAGAAGAAGAAAAUGUGAAAAAAGAAGAAUUUUAUAUAAAUAUACUUUUAUUUUUAUAUAUAGCAUUUUUCUCAAAUAAUAGACUCAAUUCUUGUCUAUAUUUACAACACAAAAGGAACAAAUCCAUCUAAAAAGGGAAAGAAAAGAAAAAAGGUCCACAUCAUCAAUCAAGUGAUGCCACUUGUAUAUUUUUCAAAUCCAUUGUUUAUAUCAUAAUCCCAUUUUAUUUGUACCUUUAUAAAUAAGUUCCAUUCGAUUGUAACAUCGUUGACUAAGCACACAUAUUCAAUGAUCGGAAUUCCUUGUUUAGACACGGCUUAGGUGCCAUAACAUUUUCUUAAAAAGAAAAGGUUUUUGGUUGAUGAUGGAGUAGUUCCUGAAUUGGGAAUAGAUCAUGGGAAAAGAAGAAACACAACAUGCUUUCUUAUGGAGACUGACCUAAGUCAGCUCUAUUAUUAAUCAAGCAAACUCGUAAUACAUAGUACUUCUGGACUAUAUAUAUAUAAUCCAACACUUAGAAACCACAAAGUCCAAAUCAACCCAUACAUAUGUCGCAUGCGCCCAAGCUAUAUUAUUCUUCUACCCCAAGCCACAGCCACUCCUUCAUCCUAUAUAUAUAGUACCAGUUUAUCUUUUCAUUUUCAAGGGCUUGGUGGGCUACAUCCUCGUUUUUUCUUGGAACACGGAGUUGGUUUUGGUUUGAGAUAGCAGUUUCUGUAAGGUUUUCCACGUCCACAGUUGGAGCCUGCUGUAAUGCCCACCUUAUGAUCAGUACUCAUCAUUUCUGCAAGAUCCAUGUAAGAUAUCAUCAACACAAACAACAUCGAGACAAUAUUUAUACUAACAGCAAAAAAACAAAAAAAACAAAAAAACUUCUUUUAUAUUAGAAAAGAUGGAAGUGAAAGGAUUUUUCUUAUCCAAUUUUUAUUUCCCUAUAUAACUUAUAUAUGACAAAGAGGAAAAGCAACAGCUCAUGCAUGAUUAGGAUUGGCAACGGGGCAGGUUUGGGCAGGGCCACUCCUACCCCAUUCCCAUCCCAAUUAUAUAAAUCUAUUUCCCAUCCCCGUCCCAUACCCGGGGCGGGGCGAGUUAAUGGGAUCCCAUCCCCAUACCUCUCGGGGCAGGGCGGGGUCGGGUGCUGGCCCAUGCUAUUGGGACCAUCAGCAGCAUCUUCCAAUUCUGAAACAAUUUCAGAAUCUCGACGGCCUCCGUCGACACAUCGGAGUACUUGAUGUUGGUACAGUGGUUGCCAUCGUCUCGAACCACGCGGCUCAGGUGAAGGAUCACCAGCGUGAGGACGGUGCUGAUGGACAUGAAGCACAUGAACCUAAUGUAAGUACCGUCGUUCACGGACGCAGCCUCGCUCCGAUUGUAGUUCAGAAUGAAGGGGAUGAGCCCGUCGAUGAUGCCCCCCAUAUUGAAGAUGCUCCAAAACAGCGAUAUGUAUGAACCCUUCCUCCCUGACGGGGGAUAUGACAUCAUGAUAGCUCCCUGCCCCACCUAGAGCAGUCCUGUUCCGAUUCCGAGGAUGGCGUCGACAACAAUGGCGAAGCCCUAGUGCUGGUAGUGGUUGUAGUAAAGGAAAGAGUCGGCGUAGAGGACUAGGUUGAGCAAUUGACUCUUCAUUUUCCCCAAACCCCAUUUCUCUUCUUACUCAUUAGAUUAGAUCAGAUUCAAACCCAGAGUCUAUUGGUAAUUAUAAUUUUUGGACGGGGCGGGGUGGGUAACUACAAACCCAUACCCGCCCCGAGCUUGAUUCAGGUUUCACAAAACUAUCCCAUACCCGAUUAAUUUAUCCCAAUACCCGUCCCAAUAGGGGCGGGGUGGGGCGGGUGACCCGAUUGACCUGUGAAAUUGUCAUUUCUAUGCAUGAUUGUGUAUUCCUAUAUACAUAUAUAAUAAUAUUUUCCAAAAAAAGAAAUGAAAUAAUCAAAAUAUAGGUUGUUGAUUUACAUNNNNNNNNNNNNNNNNNNNNNNNNNNNNNNNNNNNNNNNNNNNNNNNNNNNNNNNNNNNNNNNNNNNNNNNNNNNNNNNNNNNNNNNNNNNNNNNNNNNNNNNNNNNNNNNNNNNNNAGAAAAAGAAAUUACCAUUUUGAACCAACUCUCGAGCACUAACGCAAGAGGCAAAGAGAAGGGCUGAAAUGAAGAGAAAACAUACUGUUGGAAAUCAAGCCAGCAUCCUCUGUUUACUUCCCUAAUUAGUGUAAUGUACAGCCUUUAUUAUAAUUGAUUUAGGAGUAAUUCUAGCAAGGUAGUUUAUUCACUUUCCAUGUAAGAGUAGUUUAUUCACUUUCCAUGUAAGAGUAGUUUAUUCACUUCCCAUGUAAGAGUUUAUUCACUUUCCAUGUAAGGGAAAUUCCAUUCCGGAAUUGUCUCAUAUCUGUAGGCUAUUUAUUUAUGCUUUCAUUCAUUAGAAAAAAAAAAUUAUAGAAUGAAUUGAGGUGUUCCUCCAUAGUUUGUCUUCAAAUUCUUCAUAUUUUUCUUCAAAUUCUUCAUGGUAUCAGAGCAGGUUUAAUCCUGUCUCAUCGUCUUCAUCUUUAGUUCGUUUUUUUUUUUUUUUACUCAAUUCUAUUCUUCUAAUUUAUGCCUAAAUACGCCACAACAUGAAGCUAGCCCUUUUAAUAAGGAGCAAAUGGAGAUGCUUCAGAAACUACUGUCUCCUCUUUUGUCAGUACAGUCACAAACUGGCUCAUCUUCCAACCAGGUCAUUGGUUCCGGAACCUUGGCUCACAAAGGUAAUUUUUUGAGUGCCUUCACUGCUGGUAAGAAACGUAAAAAACCUUGGAUAGUGGACUCAGGAGCAUCUGAUCAUAUGACGGGAGAUGCGACAAUUUUUGAUACAUAUAGCUCAUGUCCAAAUGAUUUAACAGUCCGAAUAGCAGAUGGUUCACUAUCAAAGGUUGCCGGAACAGGUUCAGUUGUGCUAUCAAGGGAUCUUACUCUCAACUCUGUUCUCCUUGUUCCUAACUUGGACUGUAAUCUAUUGUCAAUUAGUAAACUCACUAAGGAAAAGAGGUGUAUUACUAAUUUUUCCUCCACUCACUGUGAAUUUCAGGAUUUGGAUUUGGGGAAGACGAUUGGCAAUGCUGAGGAAUGCUCUGGACUCUACAUCCUUAAGGAGCGCCACGAUCCACAAGAACAACCUCAAAUGACAGUUGGUAGUAAUUCUUUUUCGGUUUCAUGUCAAAAUAACGAUAGUGCAAUUAGGUUGUGGCACUAUCGCUUAGGUCAUCCAAAUGUUAUGUAUCUCAAGCAUUUAUUUCCUUCAUUAUUUAAUAAAAAUCCNNNNNNNNNNNNNNNNNNNNNNNNNNNNNNNNNNNNNNNNNNNNNNNNNNNNNNNNNNNNNNNNNNNNNNNNNNNNNNNNNNNNNNNNNNNNNNNNNNNNNNNNNNNNNNNNNNNNNNNNNNNNNNNNNNNNNNNNNNNNNNNNNNNNNNNNNNNNNNNNNNNNNNNNNNNNNNNNNNNNNNNNNNNNNNNNNNNNNNNNNNNNNNNNNNNNNNNNNNNNNNNNNNNNNNNNNNNNNNNNNNNNNNNNNNNNNNNNNNNNNNNNNNNNNNNNNNNNNNNNNNNNNNNNNNNNNNNNNNNNNNNNNNNNNNNNNNNNNNNNNNNNNNNNNNNNNNNNNNNNNNNNNNNNNNNNNNNNNNNNNNNNNNNNNNNNNNNNNNNNNNNNNNNNNNNNNNNNNNNNNNNNNNNNNNNNNNNNNNNNNNNNNNNNNNNNNNNNNNNNNNNNNNNNNNNNNNNNNNNNNNNNNNNNNNNNNNNNNNNNNNNNNNNNNNNNNNNNNNNNNNNNNNNNNNNNNNNNNNNNNNNNNNNNNNNNNNNNNNNNNNNNNNNNNNNNNNNNNNNNNNNNNNNNNNNNNNNNNNNNNNNNNNNNNNNNNNNNNNNNNNNNNNNNNNNNNNNNNNNNNNNNNNNNNNNNNNNNNNNNNNNNNNNNNNNNNNNNNNNNNNNNNNNNNNNNNNNNNNNNNNNNNNNNNNNNNNNNNNNNNNNNNNNNNNNNNNNNNNNNNNNNNNNNNNNNNNNNNNNNNNNNNNNNNNNNNNNNNNNNNNNNNNNNNNNNNNNNNNNNNNNNNNNNNNNNNNNNNNNNNNNNNNNNNNNNNNNNNNNNNNNNNNNNNNNNNNNNNNNNNNNNNNNNNNNNNNNNNNNNNNNNNNNNNNNNNNNNNNNNNNNNNNNNNNNNNNNNNNNNNNNNNNNNNNNNNNNNNNNNNNNNNNNNNNNNNNNNNNNNNNNNNNNNNNNNNNNNNNNNNNNNNNNNNNNNNNNNNNNNNNNNNNNNNNNNNNNNNNNNNNNNNNNNNNNNNNNNNNNNNNNNNNNNNNNNNNNNNNNNNNNNNNNNNNNNNNNNNNNNNNNNNNNNNNNNNNNNNNNNNNNNNNNNNNNNNNNNNNNNNNNNNNNNNNNNNNNNNNNNNNNNNNNNNNNNNNNNNNNNNNNNNNNNNNNNNNNNNNNNNNNNNNNNNNNNNNNNNNNNNNNNNNNNNNNNNNNNNNNNNNNNNNNNNNNNNNNNNNNNNNNNNNNNNNNNNNNNNNNNNNNNNNNNNNNNNNNNNNNNNNNNNNNNNNNNNNNNNNNNNNNNNNNNNNNNNNNNNNNNNNNNNNNNNNNNNNNNNNNNNNNNNNNNNNNNNNNNNNNNNNNNNNNNNNNNNNNNNNNNNNNNNNNNNNNNNNNNNNNNNNNNNNNNNNNNNNNNNNNNNNNNNNNNNNNNNNNNNNNNNNNNNNNNNNNNNNNNNNNNNNNNNNNNNNNNNNNNNNNNNNNNNNNNNNNNNNNNNNNNNNNNNNNNNNNNNNNNNNNNNNNNNNNNNNNNNNNNNNNNNNNNNNNNNNNNNNNNNNNNNNNNNNNNNNNNNNNNNNNNNNNNNNNNNNNNNNNNNNNNNNNNNNNNNNNNNNNNNNNNNNNNNNNNNNNNNNNNNNNNNNNNNNNNNUCGUGCUAUGGCACGAGGUAUCUGCGAGGGAAUCUGGUUGAACAGGCUGUUAGAAGAAUUACGGGUUCCAUUGAAGCAUCCCAUGGUGUUAUACUGCGACAAUCAAGCUGCCAUCAGUAUCGCUAAGAAUCCGGUUCAUCAUGAUCGAACUAAGCACGUGGAGAUAGAUCGACACUUUAUCAAGGAAAAGAUUGAAAAAGGAGUUUUCAAAGUCAGCUACACUCCGACAAACUGUCAAACGGCUGACAUUCUCACAAAAGCUCUUGCUCGAGUUAACUUCGAAGAUCUGACAGAAAAACUUGGAAUGAUCAACAUCUACAACGCGGCUUGAGGGGGAGUGUUGGAAAUCAAGCCAGCAUCCUCUGUUUACUUCCCUAAUUAGUGUAAUGUACAGCCUUUAUUAUAAUUGAUUUAGGAGUAAUUCUAGCAAGGUAGUUUAUUCACUUUCCAUGUAAGAGUAGUUUAUUCACUUUCCAUGUAAGAGUAGUUUAUUCACUUCCCAUGUAAGAGUUUAUUCACUUUCCAUGUAAGGGAAAUUCCAUUCCGGAAUUGUCUCAUAUCUGUAGGCUAUUUAUUUAUGCUUUCAUUCAUUAGAAAAAAAAAAUUAUAGAAUGAAUUGAGGUGUUCCUCCAUAGUUUGUCUUCAAAUUCUUCAUAUUUUUCUUCAAAUUCUUCACAUACAAGGAAAGCCCUCAUGGUGAUGGGAGAUUGGAGUAGGGUGUGAUAAACUUUCUCCCCCGCUACCCUUAUUUAUAAUGGCAUUCAUACGUGUGAAGUGUGAAUGGGGAAGUGUGAAGGGCAAAGUGUCCCACAAAAAGGGAAAAGCAAGGAUGAGUCCCCGCUACCCCACUAUCUCAAUUAUCACAAAACAUAUGGUACCUCUCCUGCAUAUCUUUUGAUUCGAAACCAACUUUUCUCAUGCACAUGGGUUCACUGCCAUCUCAUGCGCCCAACUUUCUCACUCCACUCAAUUAUUGCACUCCACGAUAGAAUUUUCUCUCAUUAUCAUGAUAAUAUUCAUGGAUUGCAACUGGUUGCUGCCAGAAUUCUAUGGAGGAAAAGAAUACAAGCAAUUUUUUAAUUUUUUAAAGUUUCUGAUUUCCAUUUUCUAAAAUGGUUUUUAUAUUAAAAAUAUUGGUGAAUUGAAAGUACGUCUAUCAAAUUUUCUUUUUAAAGUGUUUAAAAGUUGUUUUACAAAGAUUUUAAAAAGCGUUUUUAUACCUUCCAACACUUAAAAGAUAAUUUUUUUUAAGUAUAUUUUUUAAGUGUUAGAAAAACUAAAAAUGUUUCCUAUUAUUAUUAUCAAAUGUACUCUUUGUUUUUAAAAAAAUUGUAAAUCAACUAUUGCUAUAAAAAACACUAUUAAUGAUUUUUUUAACUAUUUAAAAGUGUUUUCUAAAUUUCAAAUACCUAAUUUUUCUUCAAAAAUAUUUUCUGAUAUAGAACUAUUUUUCAAGACACAAUUAAUGAUUUUUUAAUUAUUUAAAAGUGUUUUCUAAAUUUGAAAUACCUAUUUUUUUGAUUUUUUUUUUUUUUUUGAUGUAGAACAAUUUAAAAAAAAAUAAUUUAGUUAAAAGCAUAAAUGGGACACUGCCAUACUGCUAAUUAUUAGAGCGGCAGAUAAACACAUUACUUUUGCGGAUCACAAGGAGCUGGAUGACAUCCAUAAAGUUUUGUUGUUGGAUUAAUAUUAGAACUGCCUCCAAUUCUAAUGUGUUCAUAUCUAUAUAUUGUUAUUCUUGAAUUAUCACAAAUGUAUGGUCAAAUAAUUAUGUAUAAUAAAUAAACGAGAAGAUCAGUAAAUAUUGAAUCUUACAAAUGGUUGAUUGAGGCUAGAGCUUGACUCUAUGUCCUUAAGACGAAUUUGCCCCGCACUGGUGCUUACGGUUUGUUGACAAUUGUCUCCCAGAAUACAACGAUCACUUUCUUGUGAUAGUAGUACUCCAAAUCACAAGAAACAACGAAUCACUUGAUGACUUGAACUCUCUUGAAUACCAAACACUUGGAAGAAAGAAGAAGAAGUGGAGAGAAUUGAUGAUGGAAUGAAUGAGAAAUGCCAUGGGGGGCCCUAUUUAUAGGUUUUCUGGUGACUCUUAGAAGAGAUGUGUCUUAAAUACUUGACAUAUCUUUUGACACAAGUUGUGUCCAUUAGGAAGAGUUGAGUCUAAUUGAAACAGUAUGUCUUAAUUUCCAUUCACCUAUAAAUAUCCCAACAAUCCCCCACAUGAAUGGAAAUUGACUUAAAAAAAGCAAAUGGAAAACUAAUUAAACAAUCAAGAUAGUACAAAAUUGGAAAGUGAUUGCAUCAGGAUAGGUAGUUUGUGGCUUUGAACCUUCCUUAGCGAAAUACUAUCGGAUUUACUAGCUAAUCAUUGAAUGUGAUGUCUUGAACUGUUCAGCUAUUGAUGUAAAUCAAGACAAUAGUAUUCACACAAUUCCUUUCUGGAUCACCAUUGAUUCUCACGGUUGUGUUCAUUUUGGCCUUGAACAAUUCCCUGUUUCAUGAGUGCUUUAGAGAAUUUUAGCCUUAAAAAUUCUCAUAGAAACGACCCCAUUUCACACUCACAUAGGUGAUUCCUAUGGCGAGUUUUCUACCAUACUCCACUUGAACUCUUUCAAAUUAUUAGAAUCAUUAAAAGCAUAGCUUAUCCUAGACACAUCUUGUAUAGCACUAGUUCACCAUAGGAAUGGGUAGGAAUUUAUUUUUCCCUAGUGUUCUUCACAAAGUAUUUCAUAAUUUAGUUGUCCUCAUUGAACCUAGAUCUUGGGAUCUCCAAUCAACUAGGUUGGGUUUCCAUUAUGAAACUCUUUAGUGAUAGGCCUUAAUCCCAUUUCUCUCGAUGAGCAGUUUACUUGAUCUCUAGACAAUCCUUUAGUUAGUGGAUCCGCCAGGUUGUCCUUUGACUUAACAUAAUCAAUGGAAAUAAUUCCAUUUGCAAGUAACUACCUUACAGUAUUAUGUCUAUGACGGAUGUGUCGAGACUUACCAUUGUACAUGCUACUUUGUGCCCUUCUAAUUGUUGAUUGGCUAUCACAAUGUAUACAUAUUGCAGGCACUGGUUUUGGCCAGCAUGGAAUGUCUUUUAGAAAAUUAUGAAGCCAUUCUACUUCUUCUCUUGUUCUAUCUAAAGCAAUAAAUUCAGAUUCCAUCGUUGAUCUUGCAAUACAUGUUUGUUUAGAUGACUUCCAUAAUAUUGUAGUGCCACCAAUUGUGAGUACAUAUCCACUUGUGGACUUUGAGUCCUUCGUAUCAGAUAUCCAAUUUGCAUCACUAUAUCCUUCUAGUACGACUGUAUACCUUAAAUAAUGAAGUCUAUAGUUUAGGGUGUAUCUUAGAUAUCUAAGAACCCUAACCAAUGCCUUCCAAUGGUCUUUCCCGGAUUAUUAGUGAACCUACUUAGUUUAUUAACUGCGUAGGCUAUGUCUAGACAUGUGCAGUUCAUGACAUACAUUAAACUACCAAUGAUACAAGAAUAUUCCAACUAGUCAAUUGCAUGUUGGACCAUUAUUUUUAGCUAAAUGUAGAUUUAAAUCUAUUGGUGUCUUAAUUGGACUAUCAUCAUAUUGGUUAAACGGUUUAAGAAUUUUCUCAAUGUAAUGACAUUGAGAUAAUAUUAGUCCACUAGAUGUCUUGGCUAUUUUUAUACCUAAGAUCACGUCUACGACACCCAUGUCUUUCCUAUCAAAAUAAUUGGUCAGCAUUUUCUUGGUAGCUUUAAUAACAUCAUUAUUGCUACCAAUAAUUAAUAUAUCAUCCACGUACAGGCACAGAAUGACAUACUCACUUUGUGUAUUCUUUGUAAAUACACAUUUAUCACAUUCAUUAAUUUUAAAAUCAUUUGACAACAUUACUUUGUCAAAUUUCUCAUGCCAUUGUUUUGGUGCUUGUUUUAGCCCAUAUAGGGACUUUAUCAGCUUAUACACUUUCUUUUCUUGUCCAAGAGCAACAAACUCUUCAGGUUGUUCCAUAUAUAUUUCUUCUUCUAACUUGCCAUUUAAAAAGAUUGUCUUAACAUCCAUUUGAUGAAUUUCCAAAUUAUGCAAUGUUGCGAUUGCAAUUAACACUCUAAUAGAUGUUAUUCUCAUAACUGGUGAAUAUGUAUCAAAGAAAUCAAGGCCUUCCUUUUGUUUAAAUCCUUUGGCUACCAAUCUAGCCUUGUACUUAUCUAUUGUUCCAUCAGGCUUCAUUUUUUUCUUGAAGAUCCAUUUUCAACCCAAAGGUUUAUUUUCUGGUGGUAAAUCCACCAAUUUCCAUGUGUGGUUAUGCAUGAUGGAUUCAAUUUCACUAUUGAUAGCCUCUUUCCAAAAUAGGGCUUCUGGUGUUGACAUUGCUUCUUUGAAUGUCUUGGGUUCAUUAUCUAACAUGUAAGUUAGAUAAUCUGAGCUAAAAGACUUUGUCUUCUUGGCUCUCUUACUGUGUUUUGGUUCUUCUUCAUUUUGAUGAUUACCAUUUGCAGUAUCAUAUGUUCUCUUAUUUGAACUUACUUCUUGCUUUUCUUUACAAGAAAAAAUAUUCUAAAAAAAUUACGCAUUCCUAGACUUAAUAAUUGUAUCUUCAUGUAUAUUAGGAAUGCCAGACUUAUGUACAAGAAAACGAUAUGCACUACUAUUGUUUGCAUAUCCAAUAAAUAUACAAUCAAUAGUUUUAGGCCCAAUCUUAACUUGUUUAGGUUUUGGCACUCCUACUUUAGCCAAACACCCCCACACUUUCAAAUAUUUGUAAGAGGGUUUGUGACCCUUCCAUAACUCAUAUGAAGUUACAUCCUUAUUCUUGUGUGGUAUCUUGUUAAGAAUGUGGUUUGCAGAAAGAAUUGGUUCUCCCCAUAAGUUUUGGGGUAGACCCGAACUUAUCAACAUAACAUUCAUCAUUUCCUUUAAUGUACGGUUCUUGUGCUCAGCAACACCGUUCGAUUGAGGUGAAUAAGGUGCAGUAGUUUGGUGGAUUAUUCCAUGUUCAAAACAAAAUUCUCCAAAAGGAGCUUCAUACUAUCCACCUCUAUCACUUCUUAUUGCCUUAAUCUUUCUACUAAGUUGAUUUGCAACCUCAUUCUUGUAGUGUUUAAACACAUCUAAGGCCUUAUCUUUGCUUCUUAGUAAAUACACAUAGCAAUAUCUUGUACAAUAAUCUAUAAAGGUAAUAAAAUACAUUUUCCCUCAUCUUGUUUGUACAAACUUUAAGUCACAGAUAUCACUAUGAAUUAUAUCUAGAGGUUCUGUGUUCCUUUCAAUUGAAUGAAACGGUGGCUUAGCCAUCUUGGUUUCCACACACACUUCACAUUUAUGUUUAAAAUCAAUGCUAAAAGAAGGUAACAAAUUUAUGUUAAUCAACAUUUUUAAAGUUUUAUUGUUAACAUGUCCUAACCUAUCAUGCCACAAUGUAAAAGACUCAAUCAUGUAAACAGAAGUACUUGCUUUAUUAUUAUUGAAAUCACGCUUAAUAGUCAUUACAUUCAUCUUAAACAGGUCAUUUGUCAUAUACCAUUUGCCCACAUACGUCCCAUUUUUCAUGAAUACAAAUUUUUCAAACUCGAAAACUAACUUGAACCCAUUUUUGCUAAGCAUAGAACCAGAAAAAAAGAUUCCUGCAAAUAUCAGGCACAUGUAGCACAUUCGUGAGAACAAGUUCUUUUCCAGAAGUCAUCUUUAGCACCACUUUUCCAAUUCCCACAACCUUAGAUGUGGCAGAAUUUCCCAUGAUCAAAUUUCUACCAUUGACUGGUACAUAUGUAGAGAACAUGUUUCUUUCUCUACAAACAUGACGAGUGACACCCAUGCCAACCCACCAUUUGUUUACGUUAUCGACCAUGUUGACUUCAAACAGUACCAAUGCAGAAAGCAUGUUUGCCAACUCCUCUUCCUCAGUCACAUGUGCUUUAUUUUCCUUGCUUUGUCCUUUCAAGCGACAAUCCUUGGCCCUAUGGCCUUGCUUAUUGCAAAUGUAACACUUCCCAAGAAACUUCUUGUAUUUGUUCUUCCCUUGACUUAGACUUUCACCAAAGUGUUUUCUCUUUUUAUUAGCCUUUGGUUCCACCAAGUUUGCCUUGGACUCCAUGGGAUGUUUUCCCACUUUCUUCUCAGAGACACAAUUAUCUUCCUCAAUUUUUAGUCUCACAAUCAAGNNNNNNNNNNNNNNNNNNNNNNNNNNNNNNNNNNNNNNNNNNNNNNNNNNNNNNNNNNNNNNNNNNNNNNNNNNNNNNNNNNNNNNNNNNNNNNNNNNNNGAUGUAAUUUUUGCAUAGAAAAUCUGAAUGUUUCCAUGCUUCAACUACUGCCACAAUUUUCUUGUUAGUCUCUCCCUCCUUUAAGGUAGGUGCAUCUUCAUGCAACACUUUGGCCAAGUUAAGUGUUGUGAGAUAAAACAACAUCUUUUGUUGCCACCGCUUGAAGUCCAACCCAGUGAAUUUCUCUGGUUUCUCACCAUGGGUAGUAGUAGGUGUGACAACAGGAGUAUCAAUAAUAUUUGUAAAGACCAUGUUAUUAACUGUAUUAAAAACACAGAUAUAAGCAAAAGAUUAAAAAAAAAUUGUCUUAAGAUUGUUAUUCUUGAAUUAUCACAAAUGUAUGGUCAAAUAAUUAUGUAUAAUAAAUAAACAAGAAGGUAAGUAAAUAUUGAAUCUUACAAACGGUUGAUCGAGGCUAGAAUUUGACUUUAUGUCCUUAAGAUGAAUUUGCCCUGCACUGGUACUUACGAUUUGUUGACAAUCGUCUCCUAGGAUACAACGAUCACUUUCUUGUGAUAGUAGCACUCCAGAUCAUAAGAAACGGUGAAUCACUUGAUGACUUGAACUCUCUUGAAUACAUAACACUUGGAAGAAAUGAGAAGAAGUGGAGAGAAUUGAUGGUGGAAUGAAUGAGAAAUGCCAUGGGGGGGGGGCUAUUUAUAGGUUUUCUGGUGACUCUUAGAAGAGAUGUGUCUUAAAUACUUGAUAUAUCUUUUGACACAAGUUGUGUCCAUUAGGAAGAGUUGAGUCCAAUUGAAAUGGUAUGUCUUAAUUUUCAUUCACCUAUAAAUAUCCCAACAUAUAUUAUGGUCAUCGUCAUGUAUCUGCAUUUUCAUAAAUAAAUAAAUGAAAAGGUUUAACAUAUUAUUUGAUUAAAAUAUAUAAAAUAAUCUAAAUGUAUAAAUCUCACUCUCCUCGUGUUUAAACUUGAAAAGCAAUCUGUUUUUUUUUAUAAAUGUCCUUUAAUAUUUUGAUUAUUUAUUUGUAAGUUUUAAAAAAGAAUAUUAUUUUUUAGUGGUCUAACUUAGGUGCUAACUCGAUGUUUGAAUGGUCUUGAACAAUCAUUUGCAAUACUUGGAUUGAGUUUGGAUUAGGCUUUUUCCAAACCAAGUUCAAUUUAUGAGUUGACUCGGAUUAAGGUUCAAACAAUUCAAGCCUAAUUCAAACCUAUGUUUUUGUAAUAUUUAUUAUGUAUACUAUCCUAUAUAAUAAUAUUUAUUUUCUUUUUAAAUUUUUAAGAAAAAAAUAUCAAAUUAUGUUAUAUCAUAUAUAUUUUUUUAUUUUUUAGAAAGAUAUAUAAACUUAUUUUUACUUUUUUUGUUAUUAUCUUGCAAUUUUGUUCUAUUUAUUACUUAAAUUUUAAUAUAAAUAUAUAAUUUUUUUUUUAAGAAACAUUAUAGAUAGAUUUUAAAUUAUAUAACUUAGUCAACCCGACCAACCUGAACUUGGAGAAAUGAUAUUAGGUUAAGUUUGGGUUGAGUAUUCAUGUCAAAGGUUAAGUUGAACUUAGAUUUAUCGUUUCUUAAUUUGAGUUGGGAUUGGAUUAGUCAUCAACUCAUCCAAGUUGCAACCUUAUUGUUCUUAAAAGAAAAAAGCAAAGAUAUAUAUUUUUUUUAAUAAAAAAUUUGUAUUUUUUUAAGCUAAAAGAAUGUGGAAGGUUAGAUUUACAAAUUGAGGAUUAUUUUCAAAUAACCCUAUAUAUAUAACCUUGUAUAUUAAUAAGAGAUUAUGACAAUAAUAUUUGUUUGCAUUAUUUAUCUUUUUAGUGUGGAAUAAAUUAGUGAUGAUAAAUCAUCUUCAAACCUUUUCUCUUUGCUCAUCUCUACUCAUUGAAUUUAUUUAAGUUAAUUAAUAAUUCAAUUGUUUCUAGUUAAGAAACUAAUAUAUAAAAAAAACACAUUGAAAACACCAUGCGACGUCGACUUUAUAAACGGGUAUGUUUAAUACUUUGUAGUUAUAUCGUGAUUGACAUUUUAUUUGAAUAUUUAUUUCUCAACUCCAUUUCAAGAAGAAGAAAAUGUGAAAAAGAAGAAUUUUAUAUAAAUAUACGUACUUUUAUUUUUAUAUAUAGCAUUUUUCUCAAAUAAUAGACUCAAUUCUUGUCUAUAUUUACAACACAAAAGGGAACAAAUCCAUCUAAAAAGGGUCAACGUCAUCAAUCAAGUGAUGCCACUUAUAUAUUUUUCAGAUCCAUUGUUUAUAUCAUAAUCCCAUUUUAUUUGUACCUUUAUAAAUAAGUUCCAUUCGAUUAUAACAUCGUUGACUAAGCACACAUAUUCAAUGAUCGGAAUUCCUUGUUUAGACACGGCUUAGGUGCCAUAACAUUUUCUUAAAAAGAAAAGGUUUUUGGUUGAUGAUGGAGUAGUUCCUGAAUUGGGAAUAGAUCAUGAGAAAAGAAGAAACACAACAUGCUUUCUUAUGGAGACUGACCUAAGUCAGCUCUAUUAUUAAUCAAGCAAACUCGUAAUACAUAGUACUUCUGGACUAUAUAUAUAUAUAAUCCAACACUUAGAAACCACAGUCCAAAUCAACCCAUACAUAUGUCACAUGCGCCCAAGCUAUAUUAUUCUACCCCAAGCCACAGCCACUCCUUCAUCCUAUAUAUAUAGUACCAGUUUAUCUUUUCAUUUUCAAGGGCUUGGUGGGCUACAUCCUCGAUUUUUCUUGGAACACGGAGUUGGUUUUGGUUUGGGAUUGCAGUUUCUGUAAGCUUUUCCAGGUUCACAGUUGGAGCCUGCUGUAAUGCCCACCUUAUGAUCAGUACUCAUCAUUUCUGCAAGAUCCAUGUAAGAUAUCAUCAACACAAACAACAUCGAGACAAUAUUUAUACUAACAGCAAAAAAAACAAAAACAAAAAAAAACUUCUUUUAUAUUAGAAAAGAUGGAAGUGAAAGGAUUUUUCUUAUCCAAUUUUUAUUUAUAGCUAUAUAACUUAUAUAUGACAAAGAGGAAAAACAGCAGCUCAUGCAUGAUUAGGAUUGGCAACGGGGCGGGUUUGGGCAGGGCCACCCCUACCCCAUUCCCGUCCCAAUUAUAUAAAUCUAUUUCCCAUCCCCGUCCCAUACCCGGGGCAGGGCAGGUUAAUGGGAUCCCAUCCCUAUAUCUCUCGGGGCAGGGCGGGGUCGGGUGCUAGCCCAUGCCGUCGGGACCAUCAACAGCAUCUUCCAAUUCCGAAACAGUUUCAAAAUCUCGACGGCCUCUGUCAACACAUCGGAGUACUUGAUGUUGGUACAGUGGCUGCCGUUGUCUCGAACCACGCGGCUCGGGUGCAGGAUCGCCAGCGUGAGGACGGUGUUGACGGACAUGAAGCACAUGAACCUAAUGUAAGUACCGUCGUUCACGGACGCAGCCUCGCUCCGGUUGUAGUUCAGAAUGAAGGGGAUGAGCCCGCCGAUGAUGCCCCCCAUAUUGAAGAUGCUCCAGAACAGCGAUAUGUAUGAAGCCUUCCUCCCAGACGGGGGGGUAUGACGUCAUGAUAGCUCCCUGCCCCGCCUAGAGCAGUCCUGUUCCGAUUCCAAGAAUGGCGUCAGCGACAAUGGCGAAGCCUUGGUGUUGGUAGUGGUUGUAGUAAAGGAAAGAGUCGGCGUAGAGGACUAGGUUGAGCAAUUGACUCUUCAUCUUCCCCAAACCCCAUUUCUCUUCUUACUCAUUAAAUCAUAUUAAAUUCAAACCCAGAGUCUAUUGGUAAUUAUAAUUUUUGGGCGGGGCGGGUAACUAUAAACCCAUACCUGCCCCAAGCUCGAUUCAGGUUUCACAAAAUUAUCCCAUACCCGUUCCAAUAGGGGCGGGGUGGGGCGGGUGACCCGAUUGACCUGUGAAAUUGUCAUUCCUAUGCAUGAUUGUGUAUUCCUAUAUACAUACAUACUAAUAUUUUCCAAAAAAAGAAAUGAAAUAAUCAAAAUAUAGGUCGUUGAUUUACAUCCAAGAAAAUAUUAAUGAUAUGGACUGAAAUUUUAUUAAUAGAAACUUAAAUAUAAAAUGGAUGUAGAAAAGGAAAUUACCAUUUUGAACCAACUCUCGAGCGCUAAGUACGCAAGAGGGAAAGAGAAGGACUGAAAUCAAGAGAGAGCAUACAAGGAUAGCCUUCAUGGUGAUGGGAGAUUGAAGUAGGCUAUGCUAAACUUUCUCCCCUGCUGCCCUUAUUUAUAAUAAUGGGAUUCGCAUGUGUAGAUCGGGAAAAAGAUAUGGCAAUUUUUAUUUAUUUAAAAGUAUGAAGGACAAGGUGUCCCACAAAAAAACAAAGCAAGGAUGACUCGCUCUCUCAAUUAUCACAAUACUCCAAAUAAUUCAUAUCAUAGAAAGCAAAGAAUCCUAAUACAAUAAAAUAAAUUAUGAACUCGUUUAACAGUAAAUUUAAGAAGUGUUUCUAAUAUUUUUAAUACAUGAAAAAUUAUAUUAUUCAAAUAUUUAAAAAAUUAAAAAUAUGUUUUAAAAUCAUUAUCAAAUGCACUCUAAAUAAUUAAGAUUUAUCCCUUAAAAGAGAUUUGUUUUUUUUUUUUUUUUUAAGAAAUGCAUGGUCUUUCUAUGAGAAACUAAAGUCACCUUGGUUUCGAUAUUACUUCCAUUUUAAUUUCAUUCUUUAUUUUGAAUAUAGGUACGGUAAUCUAAUAAUUAAAUACCGCAUUCUUUAAAUAAUGCCACAAAAAGAAGAGAAUGACACAAUAUGCCAAACUUGAUUAGGAAAAAAGCAAGGAAUGGUAUUAUAAAAAUAAAAACAUAAAAAAGGACUUAUGGAUUGACUACUAUUUCCUUUCCAUCAUUUGCAGAACUUUUUCACUCCACUCAACUAUUUUACUCCAAAAUAGUAUUUUUCUCUCAUUAUCAUAUGGGAAAAUAGGAAUUUUGUAGAUCACAAAUGGCACACUGCCUUAAUGCUAAUUAUUAGAACGGCUGAUAAACAGACACCUGUGCUAUAGACAGAGAUCAUGAAGCCAGCUGAGAAGCAACAGAAUUGGAACAAAGAAUACUUCACGUACAAAAGCUAGAAAGACUUGCAAAAAUUGCAAUGAGAGAGUGAUGAAAAGGAUAACAUCUAUAUUGGUCAUGUUUCACGUUGCUCCACUCCUGUUCAUAUUUUAUUACAUCUGGAAGAUUAAAAUAACAAAGUUGUGGCCAGCGCAGAGGGUGCUGUUGGAGGUAAGGAAGGAAAGAAAAUUGAAAUUUGUAUAGAGGGGAAAGAGUGAAAAUGAAUAUAAUAAGUGAUGAAAAAAGUAAUGAGUGCUCUUAAUAAAUAACCAAAAAAAUAAUGAAGACAAAAAUUAUACCUUAAGCUUGAUUUUUACAUUAAAUGUAACUUCAAAUUAGUCAAUUGUAUGUUACUUUGUAUAUGCUCAAUUCUCUCACAUCUUCUAUUAGUUGUUGAUGUUUAUUACUAUUUUCAUAAAUAAUAAUAAUCUUGAUAAUUUCUUGAGACAUCCGGAAUGCAAAGUAGGAUAUGAGUGGAGUGGAAGGAUUAAAAUUGCAUAAAGAUCAAUGACCAAGUCCAAUAAAACAUUUGGGGAUGAUUGAGGAGGUUUGGAGAUGUCCAAACGACCUUAAAUAAUUAAAAAAAAAUAAAAAAUUAUAGACUCUUCAAAUAUCAAUCUCAUCAAUCUUUAAAAGAUUUGAACAUUGUUUGCUUAUGCAGAAAAAAUAGGAAAAUUUGCCAAAAAACAAGAAAAAUACUGAAGGAGCUAAAGGGCAUUUUGACAAAAAUGGUGCCACCCUAUAGUCUUGCGCCAUUUUUCAUAGUGGUACCACCCCUUUGAGUUAAAGAAGCCCACCAACCGGGAAAAAAAAUGGCACCAAGAUAGUGCAACCUCAUAAACCAACACCAUUUUCUUCAGAAGUGUCGUCAUUUUGUUUUGUAACAUCGAGAGCAUGUGGGACCCAAUUUUUUGGACUUUUCCCAAGCCACCAUUAGAUCUCUCACCUUGUUUUUUUAUGCCUCCACAUAAGAUAUAACUUAGAACAACAUGAGAGCACUUCUUUAAAGGGAUUUUGGAGCUGGAGAAGGAGCAUUUUUGGGACAAGGCCCCUUGGUGGGGAACUCUUCUUCAACCUCCAACCUUGGAACUUGCUGUAACUUCAAUAAUCUUUGUAAUGUUUUCUAGAUUUUAAGAGAUUUAAUGCAUUAAACUUCUUUAUCUUGAUUGUAUUUGCAUUUGGCUAUAGUUACUCUUUAGUUUUGUAUAACUUUGAAACUUAAUUUUGAAUUUCAAUGGCUCUUAUUUCAUACUUCAUUUUUGUCUCUUAUUUUGAUAUUGAGAUUAUGUCUUUUGAGUAGUGUGUGUGCAUGUGUGUUUUUUCUUUUUCUUUUUUUCUGCUAAAGAGAAAGGGUCCUUAGGAGCUCCCUUGGACCAAUGAAAUGACCCUCAAAUCUUUAAGUAAUUAAUGAUUUAUUGAACUUGUAAGUUGAAUCUACAUUUUUAAUUAGAAAAUCAUGUCUUAAUACUUGGGAAUUGGAGUUUAGGGGUCCCUUCAAGAAUAUCUCAAGCACUUAGUUGUGACAACCGUUUAAACUUAAGAUGAUAAUUAUUUAGGCCUUAAUACUAUAAUAUGGCAAAAAAAUGGGUUGUGGGGGCUUUAAAGAUUUUACAAGGAGGUUCAACUCACAAGUUUGAAGCAAUAGUUUUAAUUAAAUUGUGCUUGUAUUGAAAAUUCUCUAACUGAGAGCACUUCUAGGUAAUCUCGAUUGUGUUAGCUUGAUUGAGGGAAAUUUUAUGAAAAGAAAAGAGCCCAAGUGACAUAGUUAUCCUUACAAGUUUAUCAAAUCUUGUUAAGUCAAAUUUCAAUUUAAAUUCACAUGGUUUCUCCCUUAUUUUUCAUAAAAUUCAUUAACCUCUUUUUUUUUUUUUUGAAAAGUGUCUCAAAUUCUAAUUUGAGUCGAUUGGAAAGUCACUGAUAGUUUGUCAUUGAUAGUUUUCGAAUGGGAUAUAUUCUUGUAAAUAAAUUUUCUAGUAUCAUAAAGAAAAUUUCCUAUUGUGAGAUUUUUUUUAAGAAAUAAGUAUCUUUUGAUAAUCACAUAAUUAGUUUCCUACAAGGAAUCUUAUCGUGUAAUUAGAAAAAUAUAUAAGAAGAUAUUUUGAUUAAAAAGUAUGAGUCUCUUUUUUGGUUUAGUUGAGAUUUUGAGAUUUGAGGGCUUUAGGGUUGUAAUCUUCUUCAAUAAUAAUAGAAAUUCUUCUUCUUCACCCAUGGAUGUAAGCUUUAGGUUAAACCAAGCUUUAGGUCAAACCACAUAAAUCAUAACAUGUUUUGUGUGUUUUCUGUUUUCAUAUUCUUAUUUUCUUUUCCCUCUUAUCUAAACUUCUCAAUUUCCCCAUUAUAUGUGAGAUCUCCCUAUCUUUCAACACCUAACUUACGAGGAUUUUAAAACUAAAAAAUUGACUCCAUAUACUUGGGGAAUUGCAGUUUUGCAUAUAUAUUUGGGAGCGAUCAAUAGGUUAAAGAGAAGUUCAGGGGUUAGGUUACCUAGUAAGAAGGUAUUAGGUGCCCACUAAGCCCAACAUGAGAAAAUGGAGGCAACUUUAAUAAGUGAUUGAUUUGAUAAAAAAAAUACAAAGUCAAAUUAAAAUAAUAAAAUUAGUUUUCUCUAGCUAUUUGUGACUUUUGACAUGGUGGUGGAAGAAAGAAAUGCAUACAAAUAUGAAUAAUCACAUGGAUAAUCAAGUAAGAGGUUGUGGACAAGGAAUAUGAUGAGAUAUUUGCUCUCAUUGCUUAUUUAGAAAGUAUAAGAUUAAUCAUCUCUUUGGCUACUAAAAAUAACUGGAAGAUUUUUCAAAUUAAUGUGAAAUAUGUCUUUUUAAAUGGACAUCUUGAAGAAAAAGUGUAUAUGGAACAACCCAUGGAUUCUGUGUUAAGAUAAAACCCUUAAAAUAUGACAUUAUGUAAUAAAAUUUUGGAUUUUAUUUGUUUAAUAAAGUUUCGAUUCACUUUUAUCUAUCAUAUUUCCAUGCAUCAUAUCUUGUAAACACUUUAAUCUGCAUCUUUUGCAUUGUACAUGAUUUUGGUGCAUUAGAAGUUACAUGAAAAAUCUAAGUCAUGAGUUCUUUGCAAAUAGAUGAUUGUUCACAAUCGGUUCAUGGGUCUAGGCAACCCAUUAGAGGUUGUAGUGCACCACCUCCUAAUUGGAUGGAUGGUUGGUCUUGGCUAUCAUGAUAGAUUUCUCAUGGUGAGUGCACUAGUAUGUAUGAUUACACAUUGGAUACAACCUAUGAUGAGUCAUGACUUAACGUUAUCAAGUAUUCAUGACCUUACCAAAUUGUUUCAUUGUGUUGUUUCUUAAUUUUGACAAAAUAAGUUUGUGCUGAAAUUAACAGUGGCUUUGACCUAUGGGUGAGAUUAUAAGUUGAUUAUAUAUUAUUUAUAGAUUGAGUCAUUGUUAAUGAAAGUUAAUAGCAAUAGGUAUUCUCAAUAGAGACACCAUGAUAUCUUUUAGGAUUGAGACAGUGUGUUUCCUUAGAAGAUCCUAAGGAAAUGUGUCAUGGAAACUAUGACUAUAGUAGUUCCUUAAGUAGAACUUGACAUAUGCUCUUGAAGAGCUAAAACAUGUCAAUUGAAUACAUAAUAAAAGGACUUGUAACUCAAGGAUAGUAGAGAUAGUCUUGAAAAACAAAUAGUAUUCACCUUAAUUAUUAGACUACGGACACCGGUUCAUGGGGAGAUUGAAUGCAAUAGAUAAUAGGUCACAGACCUGAGCAUUUGGCAUCUCGUUGUUAUUUACAGAGGAUACUAAAAUUUAGUUGAUUCUUUAUAGUGGAAUGUUAAAUCAACUUUAUAAUUGGCUUUUGAAAGAGUCAGUACUCUUAUAAGUCCUAUUGCUCCUCGUUUUGAGCUCAUAUACCUUGUUGGUAUGGGUUAUGAGGGUUGGAUCAACUUUAGGUUCACAUUUUUGCAUAAGGGUGUUUUGGUAAUUACACAAGGUUGCACAAGGGGAAGUAAGUAAGGUUUCUGGAUUGAGUUAAAUGAGUAAUUAUAAUUAAUAACCCUUGUUGGGUUAAUUAAUCAAUUAGGACCCAUUUUGGGCUAAAUUAAGUGACCCAAGCUCUUAGUGGACUCAAGUCACUUAAACCUAUUGGGGAACCCUAAAUACCUCCUUAAGGGUUAGGGUUUCCAUAACUUCUUCUAGAGAGUCAUUUUCCACUUCUAAAGAGAGAGAACAAUAGCUUUCACCAUCUCUUUCAUUUCCAUCGGAAGUGUGUCAAGAUCAAGGUUCAAGUUAUCAAGAGGAAUACUUUGGGUUUACAAGACUUCCUGGGACUUUCAUUCUUCAUCUUCAUCGUGUGGAUUCAAUUUGGGAACAUCCGAAUCUAAUGUAUGUUGUUCGUUAGUACUUUCUGAAUCCCUUAAAUUUUAAAAAUGCAAUUUUUCCACCGUGUAUAGGAUUUAGAAAAGCUUAAGAUAGUUUUACAUGUUUCUAACCUAAUCCGGACUUGGGAAAUGUAGAAAUCUUGGAUUUUCCCUUCAUUAUGUGGUGAAAGGGCACAAGAAUAAGGUUUUAAAUUUAAAAAGAGUCAUGUAUGGAUUAAUUAAAAAAAAAAAACAGCAAGAGCAUAGGAAUAGUAAAACUAACAAAUAUUUUUAAGAUAAUCAUUUUAUUAAAUACCUUCAUAAACAUGCUCUCUAUAUAAAGGUGAAUGAAAAAGGUAAUAUUUAUUACUUGUUUGCUUGUAUGUGGAUUAUUUGAUCUUCAUUAAAAAUAAUUCAAUCAUAUUUGGUGAAUUCAAUAAGUAAUGGCUCGAGAGUUUGAGAUAACUGACAUUGAUCUCAUCUCAUACUAUCUUGGCAUAGAAAUGAAACAAACUAAAAUGGUACUUUUAUAUCUUAAGAAGGCUAUGCAAAAAAACAAAAAAACAAUCUCUAGAAGUUUGAUAUGAACAUGUGUAAUUCGAUGUACACAUAAUAGAAUAUGGAGUUAAAUUAUCUAAGACAUGAAGAAAAUAUGCAUCCAACAUAAUACAAAAGUUUAGUUAGAAGCUGACGUUGUUUGACUUAUACAAGGUCAGACAUUCCUUUUGGAGUUGGACUUGCUAGUCGUUAUAUAAAAACACCAAUAGUGACUCACAUGAAAAUUGUUAAAUGAAUUCUUUACUACAUUGAAGGUAUACUUGAUUAUAGUUUAUUUUAUAACUCCUAACCAUUUUAAGCUUAUUAGAUAUAGUGAUAGUGAUUGGGGCAGAGACUUGGAUGAUUGAAAGAAAACCAGUGACUUUGUGUUUUUAUGGGAGGUUCCACAUUCACUUGCACCUCAAAGAGGCUAUUUAUUGUGAUACUUUUAACUUGUGAAAAGGAAUUUCUUUCAACAAUAUCAUGUGCAUGUCAUGCAAUUUGGCUAAAAAAUUUGUUGAAGGAACUGAAUUUUCCACAAAAUAAACCAAAAAAGAUAUAUGUGGACAACAAAUCAACGAUUACAUCAUCAGAACAUCCCAUUUUCCAUGACGAAGCAAAUACAUCGAGAUAAUAUAUCAUUUUAUUAUAUAGUGCAUUAUGAAGAAAGAAGUGUAAUUAAAAUUGAUCAAAUUUCAAGAUCAAAUUUACAGACAUUUUUACUAAAUCUCUCAAAUUUAAAGAUUUUAAAAGGUUAAAAAUGCUACUUGGAGUUACAAAUCAAGUUUAAGAGGGCAUGUUGGAAAGUUAAACUUGAUUUAGAAAUUUUUAAAAAAUUACAAUUCAAUUUAGUUUCCAAAAGUCAAAGGAAAUAUUUUAUUUUGAGUGGUUACUGUAGUUUGUAUAUUUAAAUACUUUGUAAUUGUUUAUAUUCAUUUUUCAACCCCAUUACUCCAAUAGAUGGCAUACAUAAAGCUAUGUCUUUGGAUUAAUAUUAGAGCUGCCUCUAAUUCUAAUGUGUUCAACUUCAUUAGACAAGGUUAUGUCGAUCAUCAUAUCCACAUAGUUACCUACAACAUUUUAUUGCAGUGCAUGCACAUGUCUUCAAUGGCUGUAUGCAUAAUACUAGUUUUUGCAAUAUGGGGUUGAAACAUGACUAGUUGUUAUAUACAAAGAAAUAAAUAAUCUAUACUUUUAAUAAUUUUAAUAUAGAUUUAUUUACUAUAUAAAUAUACUGGUAUUUAUGUAUAGCAUUUUCCGCAAAUAGUAGCCUCAAUUCUUGCCCAGAUUCACAUUCCAUUGUCAGCAGAGAAAAGGGACAAUUCCAUCUGAAUUGGGAAUAGAUCAUCAGAAAGGAAGAAACAGAAACAAUUCUAUCAUUAAUCAAUCAAACUGGUAAUACAUAGUACUUCUGGAUCGUAUAUAUAUAAUCCAACACUUGAAACCACCGACUCCAAAUCAACCUCCUUCAUACAUACUAAGCCUUAGAUACAAUGCCUGUUGAGCUUGUUGAGCUUCUUCUCAGUUUCAAGGGCCUGGUGGGUGGUAGGGGCUGUGUGGUGGACUGUAUGGACUUUUAUAUAUUUUGGGGCUGGGUGGUGGAUAGUGUGGGCUUUUAUAUAUUUUGGGGCUGGGUGGUGGACUGUAUGGGCUUUUAUAUAUUUUGGGGCUGGGUGGUGGAUUGUGUGGCCUUUUAUAUAUUUUGGGGCUGGGAGGUGGAAUGCGUGGGCUUUUAUAUAUUUUGGGGCUGGGUGGUGGACUGUGUGGGCUUUUAUAUAUUUUGGGGCUGGGUGGUGGAUUGUGUGGGCUUUUAUAUAUUUUGGGGCUGGGAGGUGCAAUGUGUGGGCUUUUAUAUAUUUUGGGGCUGGGAGGUGGAAUGUGUGGGCUUUUAUAUAUUUUGGGGCUGGGUGGACUUUUAUGCAUUCUUUUACAGUCCCUUGAUCCGGGAUUGCACAUGCUUGUAGAUGGUGGAUCAGGUAAAUUCCCUGCUAUAAAGCCCACCUUAUCGCUACUCAUUUCUUCUGCAACAUCCAUGCCAAAUAUUAUCAUAAAUCACAAAGAGGCAAAAACAGCAGCCCAUGCAUGACAGUAUAUUAAAUGGGAAAAUUGUGUACUAGCCUCCAAUCAUA
rnacentral:lncRNA from 1 species